rnacentral:lncRNA from 1 species
CCGGGCCCUUAUAUACUAGUUCACAGGAUCAGUAGUGGAUUCCAAUUAAGGAGUUGUUGACGGAAAGGGAGUUUCAAUUCCUCUGAUACUGCCUCUACUGCCUCUCAAUCUUAUCUUAUUAAAGCAUCAGUAGACCCCGCUAAGGCUUCUGGUAGAUCGAAAGCAGCGGGAACUCUAACACAUGGAUACUAUAAAGGAGACUCGAACACUAACUCGGCUAGCAUACCUAGCUCAUGACUCUGGUUCUUACCCUUAUAGUAGGCUAUUUAUUAUCUUAUUAGAUUAUUCGUGCAUACCUAGCUCAUGACUCUGGUUCUUACCCUAGGGAAAGUAUUAUACCUCUGUUGGACCGUAUUCGCUACUAUCCAUAGAAAAAGAUGCCAUGUCCUCUUCUCGAUUUCUCGAUGAAAACGACUUCUUACCUCUUACCUAGAAGAAUAUCGAUUAUCACAGGAUUCCUCUAAAGCAUACUAUAGCAGAAAAAAUAUCCAAUCAAAUCUUACCAGGGAAGGAGCCCUAAAGUCAAGAAAGAAUGAAUGCUGUUGCUUGUUCUCGAAGCUCACUUAUUGAAUCCAUCUCGCAACUUAUAGGGAAUAGUUACUUCACACCAAUUCUUCCUUCUGAAGCGCAGUGUACUUAAGUAGAUAGAAGUUUGAGUGUUGCGGUAAGCAAAGCGGGUAAUCUUCAAUUCCAUGAUUUUCUUAAGGAUUUUCUUUGUCUAAGGCUCCUAACGUGAGCUGUUUGAGUUGUGCUAACGGUAGCUUUAAGAGCGAGUCCAGAUUGAGUUUCUUUUUUCCCUUGACUUUGUAAGGAGUGAGUGAUUCCUCAAGUUCUAGAUUCCAGUCUGGUUCCUGUUCCUGAGACUUUACUUGCGACUGCUCCAGCAUUGGAGUUUGGACGAGUAGGGCGAGUAAUCAAAGAAUCAAAUCUCAAUCACACUCAUUCUAUAACAUAGUAAACUAACGCUCAAUCACACUCAUUCUUGAAAACAUAAGUCAACUAACGAAUCAAAUCUCAAUCACACUUCAUUCUUGAAAACAUAGUAAACUCACAUCUUCUCUCGGGGCUUGCUCUUGCUAAAGGGCUUGUUGAAUGGAGUUAGGAACCCUGCUUCCCUGCUUAUUAAAGGACAGAAGCAUAGGCACUAACAACAAUAACUAAAUAAGAAGCAAGAGAGCUGGUUUGGAAGCUGUACCCGGGCGGAACAGGAAAGAGAGAAAUAAGAGUGGAGUAAGGUCGCUCUUCCUCAUUCCAUUCUUUAGUAUAUGCUUGUUUACUUGGCCGGGAUGAAACUAUGAGUAGCUUGUCGGCUUGUCUGGUCGGUAGUAGUGUAUUGUCUGGCGCGUAACACAAGCACGAGCACCCAUUGAUUGAAACCAUAGUAUAUGGCACAACCCCAACGACUAGUCUACCUUUGCUUGCUUCGAUUCUCACUAUCCUGUUUUUCGUUCCCCAACAACUUUACUUACUUCAAAUCGGAUAUGGCCUGUAUCUAAGACCUAAGCUCGCCAGCUACGCUCUCUCAAACUGAAACUUGGGAUCUCGUACCCAGUCUUCUGCUGCUGUCUUUUAGUAUUAAUUGCCUAACUCAAAAGCGGACUUGAUGGUAAGCUAACCGAGCUAGUGGUUGACUUCAUUAUUACUUAUUCCACGCCCAACCUUGUAUUGAGGCCUUACUUGACUUUAUCUCAGCCUGCCUCCAAGCCUUAAAACACUAAACAACACGCUCAGGCUAUUGCCUAUAAGUCUGCCCGAUCAGAGGCUCGGGUUAGUCCGCUACUCCUAACUCCUCCUACUUCGAUAACUCCUUACUUCCACUCUUGGGCUUGCUCUUUUCAUUCUGAGUUUCUUACUGACUUAGUUUAUUACUUACUUAUUCAUUCCUGGACUCCUGGACUUAAGUAUUACUUGAAAACUGCCCACUCCUUCAUAUCUGUAUGCCUUUACACCUAAAACAAGGGGAUCCAACCCGGAUCGGAGGAAUGAAACAAAGGAGUUAGCCUUAGACUCCUGAACCAAAAUCUGACUUGAAAACAGCCAUUCCUGCAAAAAAGCCUUUCGCUCUGGGGUUAGCUUAAGUCUGUUACUUCGAAUUAAUAACCACUAGUUGGGGGAGUUAGGCAAGAAUGAAGUAGUAACACAUGGAUGAGUUUUUCUUUGGAAUCUCUAGUGGGCUUGCUCCGAAUUGCAUUCUAAAGUCCGAGUAUUAGAGUAGUCAGCAUAAGAACGAAACCCACCCGACUAUAUUGAUGGAACGCUGCUACCCGCUUGUAUCAAUAGAAAUCAAAACCACUAUACUAUUGACAGUGCCGAUUCCAUUCUUAUAAGAUAAUAUAGUUUAUUCAGUGCCAACUCUCUUACUACGCUCUGGAAACAAUUCUGAUAUUCGCCCCCCAAACAUAUUAGAAUGAUUCUAUUACAUGACAAUUCUUCUAUCACUUUGCUUUGGAGUGGAGCCUAUUACCUUUGCUUUGGAGUGGAGCCUAUUACCUAUGAUUCUAUUACUUAGUUGUUUGUCUGCUCACCCCCUGCUGUACUGGCACACAACCCACCCUACUAUGUAUCAAUAGCAUAUUGGGUAUCAAUGGCAUAGGUAGCAAUGAACACCACCACUCACUAUUGCGUGUAUCAAUAGCACAAACGAACGGAACCAUACCUACUUGGCAAGGUACUCAUUAUUCAAGUCAAAAGCACAUAGUCUUAAGGGAGCGCCUAUCAGCCUGCGAGCGACCAUGCAAUGGUGAGCAACAUCACUCUUUCUUUACAUUUCAUGAAACAUAACUCAUUCAUUGAGUGGUCAAUCAACAAUAAAGCAAGGUUAGUUCACUUAGUCCCCAAGUCACAUAGCGCAUUCUUUGAUUAAAGUCAACAUAACUCAUUCUAUGCGCAGACCCCCGGGCACUCCGCCUGUGAGCUACCAUAUUACUCUUGCUUUGAUGCCCCUAGACAGAAGAUUGUUUCCGUAGUGCGGUUCUCUUAUAAGAUAGUUAGUUUCCUCAGCGUAAACCUAGUCUAAGUAUAGGCACCCCCUACUGGCGCACAACAAACCUAUUGAUGGGAUUGAAACCCGCGCCUAGUAUAUGGGACAACAACACCCUAGUAUGGUACAAAACACACCCCUAUUGAUUGAAACCAUAGUAUAUGGCACAACCCCUAGUAUGGUACGUAACCCUACCCCUUAUUGAUUGAUUUCCUCUCCUCGCGAGCCAACACCAGUAUUUCUUUCCUGAAACCAUAGUAUGGCGCAGCACACAGUAAUCACUACGGUCGACAUCCUUACAUGCAGAGAAGGUAGGUCCCGCCCCGGGCAGCGAAUUGCACUCGGGACCGCCAACACGCUGUGGGCGAAGUCUUCGGGCGAUAUCACUAUCAUAGUCAGGUGAUAUCACUAUCAUAAUCAGAGGUAUUACUAGAGAAACAGUAACGAACCGAACAUAGGCCCUUAUCAAUACUGUAAACCAACAACGAACAGGGAAAUCAACUCAGUGAACUCAACUAGGAACUGGGACUCUAGUUACUACUCAAGGAAUUUUGUAAGAAAAUGGGAAUUCCGCUGGUGCGGAAGUCCGCUACUUAUUAAUAAUAAUCAUAGGUGUGUUGGCGAGCGAAGAGGGUCAUAAUCAUGGAUGUGUUGUAGAGCAAGGAAAGGGGGGCCAUACUCUCAAACCCAUUGGAUAAAGGCGUCUAUAGGGCCUAGCCAUUUUCGAGUUGUUCAAUUGAGACCGCUCUACAGGGGCGUCAGAGUCAAUACGAGAAUGGAGCUCUACUGGCGCAACAGGGCUUUAACUAACAACUAGCCUAUUAGCACAAUUUCCAUUCUGAGUUUACUGCUGAAGCCCUUGUAGCCCUGUUGUUUGUCUACAACUUACUAUAAGCCUUGAUUCUCUUAUUCAGGGAACUUCUUCUUUGACUUAUUACUUUGAUUCCCAUGUGAGAGUUUGGGCCUGCCACUACGCUCUCGCACUCUUAAUAACCGGACAGCACAUAGAGAGCAGUGAUUUGUCUCUACAUCUACGCCGCUAAAGCCUUACUAGCAUACCAGCAAACUACCUCCCCUCGCCUUUAGUCUGACUAUCCUUUCUCUCAGUCACCAAGAGUAAGCUACUUGAGAAUAACCCCGGGAAUACAGACUUAUACACUGCCUAGUGAAUUCAUUACUAUCUGAGAAUACUUUCACUGCUACUGGAUAGAACACUGCCUCCCAAGCCUUACCGACCUAUUAAUGAAGAAUACACAUCCACUGACAACAAGGCAAUAGUAGCAUUUCAGAAAUCAAUAAACAAGUAAGAACAGCGUAGAGAGCGAGAUGAAGGAACUAAAGAAAGCAAGUAAGCAGAGGAAGAGUUCAAGGCGGGCUUAGCUUAGAUGCCGGGUAAGACUAUACCGUAAUUGGCUAUUGGAUUCCUUAUUCCUACUUUGAUUCUGAAAACACUAAUAAUAUUCUCUUAUAUAUAAUAAUAGUAAGUGACUUAUCUAUCUAUUGUAUUUGUAUUGGAAUUAUGACUUAAUUGCAUUGAUUUCAGCCUUGUUAUCUAUACCGCUACUAUAUCUUAAUGCACUGGAUCAUCAUACCUAGGAGCGGAAGAAUGAAAAGAAGCAUAGCGAGAAUAAAAGGCGAGAUAGUUAGUGAGAGUUGGAGGGCAGCUUUGGGUUCCGUAGUUUGGAUUCCUUGUUUGGUUUGAUUCUCUAACACUGACGUCGGAUCCUGGCUUUAUUAGUAGGAGGGAGCUACAGGGGUUCAAGUUGGAUUGAUACUAAUAUGGUAAUAGGGAAAGACAGAUUUUACGCCGAAGGAGGGAAGUGGAAAGCAAAGAUAUAGACUGCAGGCAAGCGUAGUCAGAAUCGAGGUGGGUUCGGUUCAAUGAGCGGCCCCAAAAACAGGAAUGCCGAGCAGUAGUGCUAGGUUUAAAGCAAGGGUAGGCAGCUUCAGGUGCAGUAAAGGAAGUCCCUCUCUCUUUGCAGGCUUAGAAGUGUUCGGUAAGGCGGCAGCCUUUUCAGUAGUAUUUAGAGUCUAAUCGUUACUAGUGGAUUUCUUGUCCCACUCUAUCGAUCUUGUCAGUCACAGUUUAUUUCCCAGUUAGUGAAGUCAAUCUGCUUAAGUCGCAGUGUAAGCCCUAGUUUAUGGUUAAAGCCCUGUUGGCGUUAGUAUAAGUUUCGUUUGGGAGUUAGGAGUCAUGGACCUUAUUUGUAUUCGGGUAAUUCAAGAUAGGAAUAGCAGUUUUCUCUUUAGUAGCGGUAGGCUAAAAGCCAGCAACGGUAGACUUUAAUCGAGGAGAUCCGUACAAAGAGUAAUCUACCCGUAAAGCAGGAUCCCGAUCAGUAAGGUAAGUCCUAUUUAUAAGUUCCAGUAUUGUGCAGUAGCGGAGUGCUCCAUUCUUUUAUGCCCGGGUUCGAGUUCCAACCUUAUACUACUAAGCGAAACCCUUUAUUAUAAUGAGUAUUUGUCUAGUAGCCCUGUGUCUCUUACUUCUUAGCGCAAUUCCAAUUAUCCGUUAGUUAAGUCCCAGUUCCGAGCCUUAAGUGAGUCCAGCAGCUCCAAUCUGAUACGUGUAAUCCAUAUUGUUGACUCUUAUAUUGAUUCCUACAAGCACCUGUGCUAUUCUCUCCAGUAGCGAUUUCAGCCCUUUACUUAUUAAUUGGAUUCUUUUGAUACUGAGUUAGGCUCUAUGUGCCAAAGAAAAAACUGUAUCCUGUAUGUCAUAGUUCCAUUCCGAUUAUAAGUUAGUUAAGUCUAUUUCCCAAUGCACCAGGUCGUGUACCUUCGCGGUAUUAGUCUUAUAGUGAAUAGUGGAAUUGACUUGGUUUAAGCUUAAUAGGUCAUUUUCCAUAAUAAGAAGAUAACAUAGGUCUGUAGACGAGUGAAUUCACUCUCCUAAGCUGCUCCAUUAGUGGUUUUGCUUGUUGGGUUUACUGCCCUGCCCGUCUUUCUUGCCUUGCUUUUGAAUUCCUACUUUCUUACUUGAUAGCUGAAUUCUGCUUUUCGAGAUAAGAAGUCAAGGGUGGGCUUUCGAGAUAAUUAAGUACGAGAGUCUCUUUGUUUUUGUGCUUGUCUCUAAGCUCCCUUUAGCUAUUAAUUAGGACUUCCUAAGAAAGGACUUGGCCUGUUGCUUGGCCGGGUUUUACCAUAGGCACUUCUAAUGAGGUUUCGAAGAUGCUUUCUUAUCCUCUGAGUUAUUCCGAAUUUAGGAACUAUUUCUUCUUUCUGGUAGAGUUGGAAAAGGAACGAAUCGAGUGUGAUCCGCAGAGGCAGGCCGCGGCUACCGACAUGAGCCAAAGGCGGCUAAUGCCAAUCGCUUUCACUAGGAAACAAAGCAAGCUGUGGAGAAGCCCUUGAAUGAAGAGGAACUAUCUUUAUGGGAACGGAAGGGCUUUGACUAUCCAUGGGAACGGGCACGGAUGAUUGCCAUUGUCGCACCCUACAUACUCUGUUUCCAAGCCCUAAAUGGAAAGUCAGCAACAAGUGGAAAGGAAAGGAUAAGUCGGAAGUAAGCUGUAAAUGAAGGAGAGGCCCUUAUUGUAAGUUCCCCCCGUAGCGACAUCUUCUAGCUGAUGAUCCUAAUUAUGCCUUUCGCUUCUGCGCAAGAAAGCAGUUACAUCUGUUUCAUUGAACUGACAAGCGCUAAGACCUACCUACACAGCCGGAUUCUCAAGCCUCAGAUCCAUUUGAUUCUUCUGCUAUAUCGUAAUCUUUAGGCUAUCAUUUACAAGAUUCUAGGAUCGGGAGCAGGUUCAUCUGUUGUUUUCCUUAACGGCUUUUUCACUAACUAUCCAUAUGUCUAUGGCAGGCGUUCAAUAGCUAACAAGUUCUAAUGCUAAGCGCUUUUCCAAAGGUUAGAGCGAGUGAUCUGAUCAAGCUUUAGUAUUAGCUUGGGUGGGCUGGGCCUAUGUGGAUCCUUUCUCCGGUUCUUUUCUUUCUCUCUCUCUAUUUGGUUUUUCCAUUCCAUUUUCUUUCUUUUCUCUGCGUAGUCUCAUUCUCACCAGCCUUUGACUUGACUUUUCAUACUCUUUGGCAGUAGCACAUUUUCUUCGACUAUGGGCUAAACCUCUUCUUUUGUUUCAUACUAAGAUUCCGAAGAGAAUUCUCCCCGUAUAAGCCUCAGUUACAAACUUUCAAUAGAAGACAUGUCGGGUUCAAGUCUAUUAACCGAGCGAGCACAAAGCUCAAGGGGAGAGCAAUCAAUACAGUAAAGGCGGGCCUCUCAAAUAGAGAGAAUAAGGAUAAGAGAAUAAUGGAACAGAAAUGAACGACAACAACCUGAACUUUAUGCUCUAACUGCUUCCUUUCGAACUCCUGAUGAUUCUUCUCUUGCUAAAGAAUGGAAUGGAGCUAUUAAAUAUUUAUAGAUUAUAGGAUACAACCACUUUCCACUCACUUAUGGAAUAUAUCUCGCCUUGUCAUCAAAGAAUCUAUCUCGCAUAGUUAACAAAGAAUCUUUAUCGCAUAGUAUAGAAUCCAGUGUAACCAAUAACUACCUCGGGCGCCCUUGCAUUAAGAAAAGGAAAAGCAGAUUGAUAGAGGCAUCCGAACGCUAUACAAUAGUACUCAACUUGAUUAUUGCCGUUGUUUGUUUAAUAUGAGUUGCAUAUGAGAUAUAAGAAGGAUGAAUCUCACUGCUUGUUUGCGCUAACGUAUGAGUCGUUUUCUUUCGUAUUGGCUAACGCGAGGGUUCAAAAACUGUCUAAGGGAAGGAUCUCAAUAGGUCAAUAAAGGGCAUUGAGCUCUAAUAUCAUAAGUAUUAAUUGGGAGAGCGAGAUAGAGACAAAUACCAAAUGGGGGCGGUCAAAAAGCUUUGCUACACUUCUGUCUUGCUGCUCAUUUCGAUUCUCCCGCACACACGCGCUCUUGCAAGGCUAGCCUUAAGUGCUUUUUCGGGCCCACUUCCCUUUGGAUAUUAUGAAAGCCAGUUCCUCGUGAUAGUACAUGUGGGAUUUCUUUGGUUAUCCAGGUACAAUAAAUAUGAUUGUGGGAACGAGUAAAAGGUGAGAUUUGAGUUCCUUGCGAGGAGACUUACAAGAAUUUCUACUAUAGUCUAAUGGGAUUGAUGCUGAGAGUCUAAUGGGAUUGAUGAUGAGCGGGCAAAAGCUCCGGCCGAGGGGUGAGACCCCGCUUUUUUCUUGGCACGAGAUGCCGUUACACCAUACAUGAUAGGUGAAAGACCAAGCCCAAACCUCGAUUACAUGGGAUUUCGAUGAUUCACUGCCGAAAGCUACUUAUUGUACGCUAGCACUUGAAGUAGGUGCGUUUUCGUCGUCUUUGCAGAUAUAAGAUCAAAUCAGAAAUGUCUUUCUCUCUUAUAUGCCAUUGAUGAAUAUGAAUAGCUUGGGAAAAGACCUGAAAUCCUACCUUUCAGCAUUGAAAUAAAGAAAGUGGUGGGCACAAAGAAGAAUUACAGACACCAAAGAGAGGGCAGGGUCGCUUAUGGAGGGCUUACUUAAAGAGGGCGAAGAGGUCGUCCCUCGAAGUAGCUCUAUACUAUUUUAGGACAGAAUACCAUUAUAGUGCAGUAGGUAAAAAGACCUACUAACGAGAAUAAGGAGGGAGUUAAUCGCUUCUGGGUAGCAUCAGUACCGGCAUAACCUUUUGAUUUACAAUAAAGAAAGGACUGGUAUUUCACUAGUUGAUACGAUUGAGUCAAGGACUGGUAUUUCACUAGUCGAUACGGUUUAGUCAGUUGUUGCUUCGGUCGAAGUGGUAGUAGCAUCUCUUCUCUAUAAAGAGACAAGUUUGGGCUUUCCCUGUACAAUAUACCAAGUAGAUCCAGUUUCUUAUGCCCGAGCUCAUGGUAGGGAUUCCGUUUAUGGCAUAAGGUUCAGUUCCUUAUCUAGAAGCAUACCUGGAUAUGUACUCAUCUCCUCGUGGCUUCCAUACCUAUCCAAGUUGGAGUUAACAGCAUAUCAACUCAAACUAGUAGACCCAUAGCGAGACCGAGUUAUCGUAGAGAUUCAUACCUUACAUGUGAUCGAGACCGAGACCCCUCCCGCGAACCGCUUGCUGCUUUCUUUCGAGCAUUAACUGGAGUUUCUAUCAGAAUUCCAUAGAUACCAUUGCCGGUGAUCGCAACUAUGUCCAUUCCGUUCUGGCUAGCGAUGAGGGGAAAACUAGCCCAAUGUAUGGUCCGCGCCACCUACACGACUCACUACAUAGGUAUAGGGAAAGCAGGAGAAUCCGGUUGCUCAUUCCAAAAGCCAGAAUGCGGAGCCUAUAAAGCAAGAUGUUCAUCUCCUGUUGGAUAAGGAGACCUAAAACACCAUUCAAGGUUGUCAGGUCGGUAACAAAGGGCCAUCAUUCUUUUGAAUUGGGGUGCCAUGAAUAAUCCACUUGCCUAGCUGACGUUACCAUCCCAAAAAGAGAUGCCUCGAUCGGUGCGGUAGCCACUAUAGGGAGAAUGUGUUGUGAGACGACCUCCCGCGAUGAGCCUUCUAUUUCCUUGAUGUUACACAGGAUGCGCAACGGAGGGUGGAUAUAGGUUACUUAGAGCAUUACAUUAUAAAGAAAGAUAUAGGUUACUUAGAGCAUUAUAUUAUAAAGAAUCGAAAUGAGAACCAAGGAUUACCUAGGGGCGGCCUUGAACCUGCUUCGCAAAGCUCCCCGCCCAGGUUAAAGCCUUACUUGUUGGCUCCUAGUUAACACACUGCAUUUGACACUCCUUAGGGCGUAAGGGGGAUAGUUCUUCAAUACCAAGGCGCUAACAGCAACAGUUUACGGCUUCUUCGAUUUCAAGACGAAGUCCUUUCUCGUGACAACGACUGACAUCCCCUAACUUUGGCAAGUUAACCAAAAAGUACGCUCUUACCGCAGCUUUGGCAAAGGCUACUCGCUCGUGGUAUACUUUGCUCGCUCUGACGCCUACCUCCUUUACUACAUAAAUCCAACUGCCUGCCAGCCUUGACAGAAGAAGCAGUGCCCUCCUUCAAUGUGUUCAAAUACUUUCCAUUUUGUGUCCUGAGAUGGCACAUCAGUAAUUUAAACACUCUAUGAUAACAUCAAUCUGGCUUGGCCCAUAGAGGCUGUGUGAUUGGGGGAUCGUUAGCGGAGCAAGGUAGCCAGAGCUCAUGGUCCAUCAGAGGCGCUAGUUGCUAGUUCGUUUGACCGAUCGAUUAAGUAUUAGAAUCCAGAAGUGCACAGCACACUCCACGGAAUAAUGAAUAGAAUGAACUAGAUACCAAUAUCCCUGGAACAACUUUCAAAUAAACUCCAUCUUUGUCUACCCGACUUUGACUGGUAAGAGUAGCCGUUCCCUGUGUCUUUGUUUAUAUUGCAAAAGAUCUCAUCUACUCACAUUCUGUUCUGCGAUAUUGGAGAAUCACCGUCAAUACCUCUAAGUAGGUCCGGGAUAAUCCUAAGUAUGGGGGGCAAUUUACAACUAUGCCAAUGAAUCUAGUACUUGCAAGUCAAUCUUUUAUGCAGUCAUCGAUUCUUGCGAGAGGCCACAAUUCCCGCGACGAGGAACGAUUUGAUGCAGAGGAGUUAGUUUCGAAAGUAAAGUUGUCUCGAAUUAGCAAACUGUGUAGAAACAUACUGGUAUAUUCCUGUUUGUAUAUGAAAGUGAGCUAGGCCCCGGGUAAAGCUACUUGGAAUUACUACGGAACCGCUUAUCAUUGAAUGUAUUGAACGAUGAAAUGUAUCCCCGUUCGCAUAGUUUCUAUGACUACCUAAGAUUUCGUUCAGUCUAAUAGAAGUUGACACCUAUUACAGCUCGUACAACCUUGAGUAAGAAGUGAAUUGAGACUAUUUAAGUUACAACUCCCGUCCUCCACAUUCUUGAAGUUACAACUCCCUUCCUCCACGGAACGAAAAGUGUUACUUCCUUACAUGGACACACCUCUUAUCUUUCCUUAGCUUCGGGUAAACUCACUUUCUUUUACUUGAGCCUAAACUUGACCUUUGACCUUGCUCUGGAACCUGGAGAAGGCAGUCCUAGGCCUAACUCAACUAUUAGAGAGCUCCGCUCAGAGGCAUCCCCAAGACAAUCUUUUGAAUCUUACCUACUUUCAAGCUUCUUCUCUUUCGCCCUUGCGCAUUAGCUAAGCCGUUUUUCCGCUUAGGUAGUCAAACCCAUGUGUUACGCCUAUAAGGGUAGAGAGGGUCAAUCAAGAAUUCAAUAAAGUAGUAACGCCCCAUAGACAUUACAUUAUAAGAAAACAACAAAGAGUCUAGUUCUCUCAAUCCCUGCCUUCCGCCUGUCUCUACGUCUCAACUAAUAUGGAAUUGACCAAUAGGGCUUAGCCUCCUUACUUAGGGACUCGAACUCAAAACUAGGAAUUCCGCUCACUCUUGCCCAUCUUCUCUUUCUCUUUCUCUUUUACGACUUUGACCACUUAGUGCUUCCUUGCCAAUAGUUUCUUCUGCCCUGAACCGGAACUUACUAUAAGGCCUCUCUUCUUGCCCGACGCCAACAAAGAAAGAUUAGACUAUAACCUGGUGCUUCUGCUUCCGCUCUUGAAGUUAUGGAAUCCCUUGUUGAAGUUGAAUAGCUGGAGGACUAUACUAUUUAGGCUCAAAUGCAUUUCUACAGCGGAUAGGAGAGCAAGAUGACCGAUUCAUUCCACAGUCGUCAGAGGCUCAAGAAUCACCAGAAUACGGAUACAGAUCAGAGGCUCAAGUAAGUGGUAAGCGAGAAGGAACAGUUGGAUUCUUCAGCAAGGUGAAGUGUAGGUCGAGUGUCAAUUCCUUUCGUUUCACAUAGAAGAAUGAUUUGUUGUGGACUCUAAGCCAUAAACUCGUCCUGUUGUCGGGUCUUCAAUCAAUAAACCAGUGGAUGUCGGUUCGGGUGCUCAUGCUCAAACUUCCGAUUACGGGUCGGGUUCGAGUUCAAGUUUUCGUUGAUUUGGAAGUGCAAUUCCAUUAUCUUCUUUUUGAUUCCGUUGCACGUUAGACACUCGGUUAAGUCUGUUUUCCCAGAUUGAUUUGACGACGCUGGAAACCCAUCUGACACUCUGCUGAUGGCUAAUCACCUAUCUUGCCUUGCUGCCCUUACACUCCUUUCAAUGCAUUUUGAUACUCGCAUUCAUCAGUAUACCGCGCACGCACCCUACACAUCUACUGUUGGAUUUCUGGAUUGAUUUCUUUCCCGAAUAAGCAAGUGGUAGAGAAAAAACAAGGGAACUAGUUGCGCUAACAGAGUUUGACAGAAGGGAUGCAGUGUAUUUACUAAGAUCUAUACCAUAUGCUCAAAAUAGAGAUUCAAUUGAUGGGGGGAACUUCAAGAUAGCUGUAGAGAACAAGCAAGUUGAGUCUGGUAAUAUUACAAACAUAUAUACUCAUAGGGGCAAGUUCUAUUUCAAUGUUUCAUUAAGGUUUCCUCGGCGCUAACAGAGUUUGAAAGAAAGAGUAGAGUAUUGAAUAGUACCGGGUAAUAUUCCUAUAAAUUAGACUAUGCGAAAGAAAGAAAGAAUCCAUGAAUGAAAUGUGACAGUUGACUCGGCUAGGUAGUGAGUUGCGUGCGCUAAGGCUUCUGUUUACAGUUCCAAUUUGAUCUGAUCUGCGAAAUGGAUCUGCGCUUACUGAGUUAUUGGUUUAGUUAAGGUAAGAAGAUAGUACCAGGUAAGUUAAGGUAAGAAGAUAGUACCAGAUAAUAAUCUUGAUAAAGUCGAUAAAGUAAAGUACUGGCUUGCUUUGCUGCGAGGUUAAGUGGAAAUAGGUUCGGUGCGAGUAAGGUUGCUAAUUGAGAUUACUGUUGUUGACUCGAAUUGUGCCGGAUCUUCUUGUCUUUCUGUUCCAGCAUUGUCUGCAUCUGCAAGAGAAGUAAUUGGCGGAGCGGUGCGAGUUCAUUGUGGACAGAAUGCUUAGCCCAUGUAGCGGAACUGGUUGAAACGUAGCCCACGGAGCGAAGAUCCACCCGUUACUUAUAUUCUGGUUCUGUUAUACUCUAUAUCAAUUUGGUAGUAACCCUUACUCUCAAUAAACGUUACGAGCAUCUUUCUCUCAUUCUCAUUGCUUACUUGAAGCUUCUUCCCUUAUGCUUGCUUGAAAACGGACUUUUGGACUUUCUCUUAGUGGGCUAAAGGUCUAUGAAGGAAAGGAUGCUAACUCACUUAUGGAAUGGAAUCCAGCGUUCCACUUAUAGAAUCUAGUAACAACACUCACUCUAGAAACUAUCUUCUUUAGUGCCGUUGCCUAUUUACUUGUUCGCGCACACUGUAUAGAAAGUUGGUUGUAACCUAAUCUGCUUAUUGAAACCGGACUGCUUACUCUCUUUAUUGAAUAUAGUCUAAACUUACUUUUGAUUCGAACCCAGAAACAGAUAUACGGCGCAAACUAAGGGACAAGACAAGAUAGCAAGCAAGAAGAAGAAGUGCAUUGUAGAGUUCAAAGCAAGCUAGGGCUUUCGCAUACUAAUGAAUGCUCAAAGGCCUUCUGUACAAAAGUAGUUUCUUUCGUAGGAGUUUCUUGUAUCUUUCUGUUCGAGUGUAGCGGAGUUGAUUUAUGGGUUUGACCGAGUUGUGGUAGAGUAAGGUUUCAAGUUGGGUGCUAGUGUUUCAGUAUAGAAAGGUUCUUGCUUGGAGUUAAGGGUAGUGAGUCGGCCUAUGAUUCAGGGAGGGUGCAGCUUACUAUGAUUAGGGUGCUGUUGACUAUAUUGAGGGUGCAGCUUACUAUGAUUAUAUCUGAUCUGUUGUUUGCCCUCGCGGGGAUACCAGCUAGGGAUAAUAUACCUCUAAUCUUUUUGAAGUCCUAUUAGCAUCAUGCACUAUUUAUUGAAAUAAGGCAAGAAAAGAACAAGCCACAGAACAAUCCUUAUUGAAAUAAGGCAAGAAAAGAACAAGCCACAGAACAAUCCAAUCAGAUAGCUAGCGUUCUCCUAAACAAGCAAUAGAAUAAGAUAGCUAGCGUUCUCCUAAACAAUCCAAUCAGAUAGCUAGCGUUCUCCUAAACAAGCAAUAGAAUCUUAUAGUGUUCUCCUAAACAAGCAAUAGAAUAAGAUAGCGUUCUCCUAAGAUAGAAGGUUAUGAAAAACUCUGUCCUUACUUAGUGGACGGACUUAUUCUUAUGUUUGUUAGUCGCAUUCCUGUCUGUGAGUUAGAACCUUUAACUACUUGUUUGGAGUCUGCCUCCACUUGUAUUAAGUGAGUAUUUCCUUUCUUGGAUUUCUUUACUCGAGUUAGGGCCUUACGCUCCUUUAUCUCAAGCUGACUAUCUGAAGUUACUGAUGUGGGUGUUUUCAGUCCUCUUAGUUUCGAGUGAGUUUGAUUCCCUUUUUCUUACCUUAGAAUUGGAUUCCUCCGAUCAACAGCUCCAUUCUAUAUUUCUAGUUUCUAUGUCACAGUGAAAACAUAGGUAGCACCCAUAGGUUUCUUCUAAUCCUUAUAUGCGCUCAGAGAGAGCAUACUUUUGAUGUCAUAGGUUGAUUCUUAGAAGCAGUGAUUUUCAUUCUCUUCCUUCUUGGAGCUUUACUCUUUUAGGUGGUAGUCGUAUUCUUUUCCUUAUUACUUACAUUCUUUAUGCCUGCCCAAAACUAUAUUCUUUCGACUAAUGCUAAUUCUCAUAUCCCAGCAAAGGUCUUAUACCCAUAUUCGAUUCUGAUUAUUGAUCUUAAUACUUAAUGCGCUACCUCGUACCCCGUUCUCUUACUCCGAGUAGAUACCCUCUUGCGCUUGGUUCAAUCUUGUUACCCGGACAGUCACUUCUUAUUCUAAGAUAAAGUAUUCGAAGCAGUGUUUUCAUACGGCAGGAAGACUAUGAGGUGAACUAAAGAAUGAAAGUGGACUGGCAACUGGCAGUUCACCCAUAUGGUAUGGAUUCUUCAACGAAUACUUAGAUCGAACAGCUGAUUCUUUAACGAAUACUUAAAGGGAACAGAGUGAAGGGAGCUCCUAGUUUAAUAUGAUAGCGAGUAAUUUCAGUCCAAUAGAGUGUUUCGGCUGCCAGGCGAGCAAUCGAUCGUAGCAGCUUUAGUUUGGAAGUCAGUAUCCAAAUCAGUAGUUAGGCAUGUAAGGUUGUAGGGGAAAGUUUGAAAACAAAGAUAGGCAGGCAAGGCAAAGAAGAAAUAGCUAUGAAAAGCAGACGAAAGGGCAGUUGCGGAAGAACACAGCUAAGUAGUCUGUCUUGGACAGAGGAGUAGCAGCCUUGUCAGUAGUAGGGGGAGAGUGGCCAGUAAGCUUAGGUGCCCAGCAGUCGGAUCUAGUAGUGAAAGCUCUUUUAGUGGUAUGUGUAUUCCAUAUUCCCAUUUUGAUUAUCGUUAGCAUGGGGUUGAAUCCUGUUGGCAUUAUCUCAGUUUCAAAGCAAGAGGAGUGAGGCUUAAGGGAAGCAGUGCCAGUUGGAAGCUAACCCCGAGGAAGGUCAGUUAGUAGUGUUUAGCACCCGGUAGGACAGAACGAAAGUCAGGUGUUUUGGUUUGGAAGCAAAGAGGGAUAGGCUAACUUACGUGUUUAGUAGGUCUGUUACUGACUUGUUUGGUGGGUUUGGUACUAUUCCCGGGUACACUAGAUUCGUACCCCUUAGUGCUUUUCUUUUUGUGAUGGUUCAAAUUCUUUUAACCAGUAGUUCCAUUAUCUUCUCUUAUUAUGGGGCUUGGCUACCGGAUUGAUUAAGAAGUCCGUCUUGGUCCGUAGGGGUAGAUAGUCAGACUUAUUAUCUGGGGAACGUCAUAGUCAAGCGGAAUAUCAUCAUGUCGGGUACAAGUCUAAUCCUUGUGGGGACUUGCUAAAGAACUAAAGUCAGUAGCGCCAGACUCAAAGCAAGGCUCAGAGGCAGUACAGUAAGAGUAAGAGUACGGAUGGAAGACAGGAGCGGUAGACUGAAAGACAGGAAUUACAGGUGCAAAUAGAAGUAUGGGCAUGGAAGCUAGAGGGGCCGUUUUUCACUCACAAGUGGGGCUCGGGCUAUUGAGUCGAAUUCCAUGUUCUUCUACUUAUUCUUGUGCUGUGUGGCGCUGUAUCAUGUGGGUACUAUCUAUUUCUUUUUGGAUUCUCCCAUAAGUAGGGUACACAGCCCUGGAAACCUUAGUUGCAGGCUUGGAAGCAGUAGUUACUGUUUGAUUCCCUUAAGUCACUUACCAUAACUCGGAUAAGCAAGCCAUAAUACCAAAAUAUGCUAUGUGGAAUAAGUAGCCUAUAAUAGUAAUAGGAGUUAAAGCGAGUAGUUUAGGUUGGAAAGGCGGAGUUGUUUUCCUCGGGAUGUAUUAGAGUAAAAGCCAGUAGCUACAGAAUGAGUCCCGGCCACUAUGCCUAUAAGUUGUAGUUGACUCCCGAGUUCCUAGUAUAAGUCUUUGUCGUCGUGUUUUUGUUCGCAUUUCUAUUCUUGGAGGCAUUAAUUGCAGAGUGAAAGGCGCUGUUUGGAAUUUCCACUAAUAGGGUAGAGGUCGGUGCCCUAUCUACUAUUCCGUGUUGGGAUGCUCAGUCAGAAUCAAAGGUAUAGUGGGUGUCCCCAUAGAGUUAGUUCUUUUACUGCGUAGUCUGGUUCUUUAUUGAUUUUGUAUUUAGUUAUUAGUUGACGUUGACUAAGAUGAUGUACCUUACUCAUGAGGUUGGUUCUUAUCGAUAGUAGCUCAAUUCUACACAGUGGUGUUAUCAGCCUUGCAAGUACCAGUUCCAAAGUAAGGUAAAGAAAAUGCACCGAUCAUCUGAAAACGUACUGAUUGUCCAACAGCUUUUUGGUGCGCGGAGACUUCUAGAUACAGGACUUGCUCAUGACUGUGACUAUCUACUUAGUGGAGCUCCUUAAAAUGAGUGUAAUCCCGAGUUUCAUCCGUUCAAGCUUGAGUUGAGGUCGGCAGGAGUUGGUCUAGACAAGCAACGAAGCAGGAAGGAAAGAAAUCCAGUGGGGAGCUCAAUUCUCCGUCGGUGGGUUAAGCCUUUGACAGCUGGGUUCCAGUCUGAGGGAAGCUAGUUGGAGUCUGUCACUCUGGAGAGUAAGCCUGAGUCCGGGGAGAGUAAGCCUGAGUCCGGUCGGUUCCAUUCUUCGGUCUGACUUCUUAGUUUCAUGCUUGCCCUCACUAGUUCUAUUCUGUUACUACUUACUAUGUUACAAUUCUUUCACAACUAACUGGAGACUUUGGAUACCUAUACCUAACCUAACCAAACUAGUCAAAUCAUUCCACAACUACUGCUAGAGCACCAACGACACAAGCACCAGCCUGGACUUCACUCGCACCCCCAAUAGGCUAAACUCAGUACUUACAGACAGGAAAGGGAAAUCAACCUCAAAGCCCUAUUCCGACAUAUCCACCGUGGGAAGCUAUUCUACGUUACUUGUCGGGUCAUAACCCUCCAAUCUCCUAUAUAAGAUAUAAUAAUGAGGGGAAGGAAUGUUUCAAGUUAACUAGUUAGGGUAAGAACAAGUGCUUACGGAGUUUAUAGAUCAAUUCCAGGCGAGUGAACAGGCUCAACAAGACUCUGUAGCGUCAGAGAGUUCCGUAAGUAAAGUUUAAGUGUAAGUUUCAAGAUAAGGAUAAAGUAAGGAAGCUGCAAAAACACAGUACUUUUGAAUAACUCUAGUACAGUUGCUAACUUAUAUUACGGUUGGCGACGAAGCAGCAAUCGGUUCUUCAAGGAGAGGUCAAUCAGUAUCCGGGGUCUGUUUCGGUUAAGAAAUCCAGUAUUAUUGUUCGGGGCUGUUGUCGGUUAUGAAGCUAUACCCGGAGUAGGAGAUAAGAUGUUAGGAAGCCACAGGGGUAAAGGUUAGGCAGCUUUACCGAGCUGUUACAAGAUCUGGUGAGGAAGCACUAAGUUCAUGAGUUUCACUAUAUUAGUAGGAAGCCAACUCUCGAAUCUCAUGUCCACGUCUGAGGGUAAGUCGAAAGCUGCAAGUAGUAGUAAGGCCAUCAAUCGUUUCUGUUCUUAUUAGAAGAUUUCAUUUACAAAAGAUCAGUGGUCUAGUCAAAGCAUUCUUUUAAGGUGAAGCUAAGGCGGAGGCAUAGGCAUAGGCUUCAGGUUCAGAUUAGGAUCAAAGUAAAGCACAACAGCUGCUACUAUAGCUGGAAAGGCUUUCUCAACACAACAGCUGCUACUGUAGCUCGCACAAGCACUUCUGGAAUUCUACAUUCAUUUGGAACGGAACUCUCCUCCCAGCUUGUUGCUGACUUGUUCUCUAUUCUCUUUUCUUCUGCCCUGAACCCGAAAGCGUCUGAUUGAGAGCGAAAGUAUACAAGUGUAUAAUUGGACCCUAUUAUAUACUAUGUAUAUGUGCUCGAUAACAAAAGAGUUCAACCCAUUUGGACUUUAGAAGUGCGCAAUUAGAGUGGAGUUUUAGAGUUAGUUACAAAGUAUUAGUGUGUAGGUACCGAUAAGUUCUUCUAUGGUUCAGAGCGGGACGGGAUCGGUAAGCUAAGUACUAUAAAUCGGGUGUUGAGCCCGCCUCGAAAGAAGGGCGUUAAGCCUUCACCAAGUGGUGGUAUGGUACAAAGAAUGGAGUUCUUCUCGCUAACUGAGUCUUCGUUGAUUUUGUCAGUUCAAUUAGGGCUCUAAAGCAGCAAAGUCAGAAUGAAAUGCAAACUUCAGAAUUAGCCGGAGUGGAGGGAUGUCAUAGAUUUGGGUAGGAUAACUAGCCCCCCUGUACAGUGUUCUUUCUCCCCCUCAAAGAAUAUAAGAAUGAGGUUUCCGGUUUGAAGUUAGAAUGGAACUGAGUGCACAAAGGAAGAAUUCAACGACAAAGUAAGAGGAUUGAUCCGCGCGUAAGGAGUGUCAAUGAAAUGUUUCAUGCGAAGGAAGUAAGUCAGCAGUGACAUCAGAAGUAAGCGUUAGUGAGCCCGGGGAUAUCAAUUUGGUAAUAAGAGCUCUCAAGAAGAAUCCAAAGUUUUCAAAACCCCGUGCAAACUCGCUGUGAAACAUACUCUGUUACUCCACUCACUCCUCACUCUGAAACGGACUAUGUUACUUAUGUCUGUAGUCCUGACUCAACAAGCAAAGAAUAUACAUACGAUCUUGCUGCUGCCUUAGCGGUUGCAGGUUAUUUUGCCGAACUAACUCUUCCUCUGCUUCUUCCUUUGUCUCUCCUUUCUUCCUCUGCCUACAGUGGGGUGCGAGGGCUUGUCUCUGCUCUUAUUCACCUCCUGCAUAGUAUAUAUGGGUCUCUAGAGGUAUAAUAAUAUAGAUUCUUUGUUUAACUGUAACGUGAGUAACUGAAAGAAGAGAGAAUCUCCCUUUUUCAAUCAUAUCCUCGUAUGUCAAGCAAUUACUCUAUAUCUCUUAAUCCCCGAAUCCAUAUAUAUACUAUUUAUGCAGUAUGGAGCCAUCGUCGCUUUCAACAUCGCGUAAGGUCCGAGUUCCGUUUGUUUCUUUCCUCCGCUCAGUACCUUGAUCCAUCCCGGUGUGCUACCCUAGACCGCACAAAACAAUGAAUGGACCGAACCACAGCCUUCUCGUCUAGCAUCUACUAAUCCGUUGAACAUCAAAACCAACCAGGAGCGCUGGCCUCGUGCAAGGGUGAUUUGCGGUGUGACAGUUUUUCUUGUCUUAUCCGGAUUUUCGAGAACUAGUUUCUGUGAUUAUUAUAUGAUAAUAUUUUCAAGUCAAAGAAAUCAGAGAAAAGAUAGAAAAUCCAUACUGCCAAAGAUGACAUGCCAUUGGAUUAUGGGUGGUCGGUGCGUAGGUAGAACAACUGUAAGGGUAUAGUGGGUGUGUAGGUGGAGCAACUGUAAGGGUAAUGGGUGUGUAGGUAGAGCAACGGCAGCUCACUUACUUUGUAUCCGGUGGGGCAGUAAUCAAUAUAGAACCCGGGCCGGGCCUAGGUAUUCAAUGGUAGUCAAUAUAGAGCCCGUCGAGGGUAGUCAAUCCUCAUCAACAAAUCAGAAAUCAGGUAAAAGAUAGAUAGAGAAUUUAGGAGCCGAAUUAAGGUAGAAAGAUAGAGAAUGUAGGAGCAGAAUUAGGGUGGAAAGGUAUAGAAUGUAGGAGCAGAAUGAAGGUGGAAAGGUGGAGAAUGGAGUUGACUUAACACUGGCAUAAUGACCUGAAUUCCAAGAAAAACCGAUCGCUCAAGUACACAGAAAAACGAAUGAAAAACCACUUCUCUCUCCACUCUAGUGAUAGCUUGGCCCGCUCUAAGAUACAGGACGUAGUUGUGAGUGACUGGAUGUAGCUUUUUCGCCUCUGAUACUGAUCUCAGGAAUAGGGCUAUAGUGCAUAAUUGCUAGCGCAUUGGAAUACAAGGAAUGAUAUGUCUUUACAGGAUUCUAUAAGAUGUGCUCCCGAUAUGUCUUUACUGGAUUGGAUUCUAUAAGAUGUGCUCCCGAUAUGUCUUUACUGGAUUCUAUAAGAUGUGCUCCCUAGUGGAGGGAUGCUUUAUUCUGAACGGAGAGUUUCUUGGGGUGCGAGGCGAGGAAAGGAUACUCAAGCUAUAGAACACAGGACUUUAGCCAACACCAACUGAGUCUACUAAGUAUUUGUUGACAGAGGAGAGGAGCCCGAGUUAGAUUAGAUGAUAGCCAGAGCAGAGAGAGGCAAGAGAACCAGUGCGGGAGGUGGGCAAGUAGGAAAGUUAGAAUCAAACCACUAAAUCCAAGCCUGAAACAAGUGCAUCACAGAUCGAAAGCAGUGAAUCCAAGGCUCCAACCACUGCUACUAAGACUACACCCAGUAACUACGCUUCUGAUAUGGCUACUUAAGAACCAAACCAGUGUCACUCAGAACCAAACCAGUGCAUCUCAAGGACAAGAAUGCAACCGGGGAAUCAGGGUAUGGGCCGCUAAGGGAUAGAACGGAGCCUCUCUUUAGGUAAUCAGAAUUGCACUCACUCAUCACAGAACCAACCCACUGGUAGAUAGUAUGGGUAUUGGUCGCUAGGGUCUCUAACCACUAACUAGCAGACUGAUACUGGGUAGCUAGGGAACGAAGCUAAGGAGUGACAGAAUCAAACCACCGAUACAAGGAAUCAAAGCAGUGCUUCUAAGUCCGAUGCUAGGUAUUACUCGUAUGGGACUGAUGCGGUGUCUACUGAUUCUUGGUAUUGGUACUACUGGUAUUGGUACUGAUGCGGUGUAGCUAGGGUCUCUAACAAGGUAGCUCGGGUCUUAAGCAAGGGCUUGCUCAGGCUACAACCACUGUAAGCAAGAAUGGAUUAGUGAAAUGUAAGACUGAAGCUAAGUAGUUAGAGAAUUGAGCUGAUCGGGGUAAGCCUGAAAGCAGUGCCAACAAGUAUGAUACUAACCGGUCUUCUUCUUGUGUUGUUGUCCUCUCUGCUAGGUAUGUCGCUAAGGUAUCUAACCACUGUUGCUAAGGCUUGAACCGGUAACAGCAAGCCUGAUAUUGGUGUUGCCUGGACUGAAGCUAAGGAGCGAGAGAAUGAAGCUGAUCGGUGGCAGGCAAAUGCUAGAUAUACUCAGACUGAUGCUCAUAUGACUCGGAAUGGAGCUAGUGAUGCUAAGACUUAAACCAGCGCAUCUAAGGCUGAUACCGGUGCUACUCAUAAUGCAACUAGUGAACCGAAGCCUGAUGCGGUGUCUGCUAAGACUGGUGUGGGUGCUCCUCAGACUGAAGCUAUGUAUUUGUACUAGUGGUACUGAUGCGGUGGCCUGCUAGGUAUUGGUAUGCAGCUACUCAGCCUGAUGCUGGUGCUAGUAAGAAUGCAAUCAAGGGUAACGAGUAUGGGUACGGAGCCCGAGUCGAGGUCGGAAAGGGGACAAGCGUAUACUAGAGCAAGAAGGAUUCCGCUAAUGUUGAGGCAAGAAGAUAGUCUAGUUCAAAAGCAAAUGCAGAAUAUGGGUAAUAAAAGAUCUAAAGCAUAAGCCGGGCAAGCGGAAAAGUAGUGCAUCAUCAGAACCAUAAGCAGGGAAUCCAGAGUGGAAUCCUAAGUUAAUAGCUAAGGCAAUAGGCAGAGGGAGUGGCAGAAGCUAGUUCAAAGGCAAGGGACGCUGUGCUUAAUAAUAGGGCAGAAGAAGAGGCCCAGGAAGCAGUUAAGUAAGAAGUAGAGGCAAGGAAAGUGGAGUCGACAAGAUCAGAAGUCGUUUACAAAUCCUUAGUAGGAACAGGCUAGGAAGCAAGCCUACAAGAGAAUUCGCUGCCCUAGGUGGUGUUGCUCGAAAGUCAAGUUAAGGCACAGCUGCAAGAUCAGUGCGGAGUUUCGGUAACUAUAGGCCCUAUCAAAUUAUAUAUGAUCUUAUAAGAGAGAAUUCCAGUGAGGCCCAGCAACCACUAAGUCUUUUGUUCGAGGGAAAGCAGUGGCAUACAAUCAAUCAGUUCAAUUCUGGCUUCCCUCGCCUGUGGUGCAUACUAAAUAGUUCAAUACCGGCUAUCUCUCUUCUUAAAGGCAGGUUCCACUCUAUUCUGUAAUUCCUCCUUUGACCUGUCACUGGUAAUUCUUAGGCUACAUCUAUGUUAGUGCUAGAGUUACAGGCAAUUCAAGUCGACCAGAAAGAGAGGUGGGUUGGUGCAGUACAGAAUCACAGGACUUCGCCUCUCUCUCCUCUAGCUACAACAACAAAUACAGAAUUCCACCGGGUAGUCCAGAUGUACUAAGUGCGGUAAGUCUGUAAACUCAUACGGAUGAAACUGGGCUGGGCUCGCUGACCAAAGAAUGAAAGUGGUGAGGCCGAGCAACUACUAGAGCAAUAAAGAGAAGAAUCUAGAGCAAUAAAGAGAAUAACCUGACAAAAGCAAGUACUUUACCUCGCAGCAAAGCAAUGAACUUAGUUCAACAAGUAUAGAGUAAGGAGCAAGUCAAGUAUCCGGGAGUUAUGAGCAAGUCUUUCCUCAAUCAAUUCCUUUGCACUUAAGUCAUUGGUGUCGCUAAAGAGCUGCUCCUGUUAUGAAGAAGUCCUGUUUUGUGUUCGUCUUCUCUUUCCACUGUAGUAUACGCUUGGCUGACUUAGUAAUAUGAGUGGAAUUCUCUAUGUAUUGGCCCCUAGCCUGAGUCGAUGUUUUCUCAUAUGAGAAUGGAAUCUGAUACUGGGUUUGUGUUGUUGGACUAAUGGGUGGUAGAGCAGACCUAAGGUAAAGGAAAGUCAGACCAGUGGAGGGUAGCGAAAGUUGGGGUCGAACUCCAGUUUAGUCAAGUAAUUACCCCGGCAGACAGCUAGGUUGUAAAGUGAUACUGAUAGGCAGGAGAGGUAUACUUCAAACAAUGAGUCAAAGAAUCGUAUAAAGCAAUGUCAGUUUGCAAGGCGAGAGAGGUGGGCUUUAACCCCGGAGUAACAGACCGAUCGACAGGUGAAUUAUAAUAGUUAAGGGAAGGAGGACAGUCUGGAUUCGUGGAUUGAUGCUUAUAAGUCGCUCAAUUACAUCGACCCUUGUUUCCAGAUUACCGCUUAGAAGCUGGAGUUUUCGCCUGAGUUCCGUGCUUUAUUCCUUUGAUUAUAUGUUUGAUUCCCAUAGUCGUAUUCGACAGUUAGUAAAGUCAGUCUUGUCGGUAGGAGUAGCUUGGCCCGGUCUGAUACUAAUACUAAUAGAUUGAGUUCUGAUCGCCCGUAACAAACACUCUGAUACUAAUAGAAGUUCCAUUCUGUCUUUUGAGUUAUCGUAUUAAAAGAGCAAGCACGGAUUUCAUUCUGUCUAUUGGUAUACUAAUUCAAUUAAGAGCUUACACUUCCUAGUAGUUGUGUUCCCGGUUCAGUUCUGUUAGCCCGUGUUUCAUCUAUCAGAGGACUAGCCGAAGAGUUCAAGCGGAGAUCAAGUUUGUCAGUAAGGGCAGUAAGAGCGAUAGCUAUUAAAGCAAGGUUUGAGGUCGAGGGGGGUUUCACGAGUGCAAUUCUAUGUUAUACUACUUCUUCUUUAUCUAUAUGCUUCUUUAUCUAUAUGCUUCUUAAUCUAUAUGCACUGGAGCAUACCAUACCCUCUACUAUUGGUUAGUCCCAUACCCUAUGCUAUUAGUCCGCCCUAUAAAUUAGUGUUAGUUUACUCAGCCCUUCCCCCAACACCCAUAAGCCUUGAGCGUGGGGAGUCAUAUUUGAUAUAAGGAGUUUCGGACUAGGUUCGAAGUAAGAUGUUAUAUCAGUAAUUUCAGUAUCAAGUUUAGUAUUAGCAGACUUCUGGUCGAGGUACAUAAUUUCAGUCAGAAGUAUAAGCCUAUCGUUCCUGUGACUCCUUAUAGUAAUUCAGUUAUUGGUAUUUCAAGUUAAUGUAUUAUUAUAGGAUCAUAUAUCUAAUGCUAAUUACAAUUAUAAUAGAAUAGAUCAGUGACAAAACCCACUCUAAUAUACGCGGAAGACAUACAGAAUUACUCACAUCAAAUAUCGAAUGAAAGCGCGGGCCACUACACUCUUUCUCUCAUAUGAGAACUCGAAAGCAGUAGACUUGAACCAAUACCGAUUAGACUGAAAUAAAUGAAUCAGGCUUCUACUAUAAAGUAAGAGAAUGCAAACCGUAGGCAAUAGAACCAAACUCGGCGGUAGGUUGCUCCUUUCUCUAUUACUUGUUUGAUGCUAGUAGGUUGUUCCUUUCUCUAUUACUUGUUUGAUGCUAACAGUAGCAUAGCAGUGUUUAGUCUUAGAGGCGCUAAGUCACAUUCUUAGAGGUUAUAGUCAAUUCUUAUAGUUAUGAGCUCAAUUACAUCGACCCUUGUUCCCGGGUUCAGUCCAAGAAGUACUAUGGCUGCAUUAGAAUAAGUAUUUGUCGUAGAAUGAGAUAGAGCACAAAGGGAGACUCAAAGCCAGUAAGAGCGGACUGAUAUGGUAGGUAGUUCUGGUGACUAAUAGGUGCAAAUACGGUAAUAAAAGGGAAAAUAGACACUUAGUUACAGGAAAGACGGAGUGAAAGGAUCUGAAUCCGGAGUUACAGAAACAAAGUAAGUAGUCGGUUUCCCUGUUGCUAGUUUAAGUACUGUUAGCACUAGGCUUUCAGCACGUUAUGUCAAAGAGAAAGUCUUACCGACAAUAGUGUGUCAGUUUGAGAAACAGUAGUUACAGGGUUUUAGGUAUGGGAGCGGCAGACUAACAACUAGACAUGGGAAUUCGAAUAAGUAAUGUUAGUUUGAAGCUACAACUGCAGGAGUGAAAGAAGAGUUAGGUGCUCCAGAAACAAGUCUAGGUUUGGAUACCUGGAUGCUAGUAUAGCUUGGUUUCUUUGUUUGCUUCUUCUUUUGAUGAGUCUUUUACAGCUUAGUGGUUUUAUAGGUUGUUCCGUCUUGUCUUAGAGGUACUAUUGAAAUUCUAAGUUCCGAGUUUCAUGCUCCCUAUCAGUAGUUUUAUUCAUUAGUGAAGUGUUCUAGUAUGUUUGCCAUUAGUUGCGUUCUCUUAUUACCCUGUUCUGUUCUUUAUUCUUAUUAAUGGAAUACUCAUAAAAGAAAGAGAGAAUGAAAGCCGGGAAGGGGAAAAUCAGUAAGGACCUAAAAGUCAGUCAAAGAGUAAGAGAAAGGGCCAAGCAACGGGACAAGCAAUUACGUAUCAAGAUCCGGAUAUGACAUAACUUCCGUGUUUUCCUCUGUGCUAACGGGAGCUGCAAGCAAGUGGUUCUUUAAGUGAAUGAGUUCUUGUGCCAGUACGGAACUCCUUGACCCUUUCCUCCCCUGAUCUAGCUUGCUCUCUUGUCGACUUCCAAGGAAAGGAAUGAAGACCUUCUUGGAUUACACUUGCUUGCUCAUUGCCAUAAAUGUGGGAAGUGGCCUCCUGACUCUAUAAAGAAGAGAAUUCAGCGUUACCAAAGAUAGAAGCACAGUAACAUCACUUUGAAUCAGCAUCCCGCACCCCCAAGAGUCAGCAUUAGCACAACUUUGAUCUAUCCCGCAGCUUGUUCUUUCGCUGUUGAGUAAGGAGUGUUUGAGUGCAAAGGAAAAUGGGAGAGUGCCCGCCACUCAUAGAUAGAAUUGAUUAGAUUAUUAUCCAGGACAACAGCAGCAAUUCCAUUCUGUUCUUAUCUCAAAUAAUGAAAUGAAAUGUUGUAUUUAUUGCACAUGGUAUAGAGACAGUAAAUACACUGAUCCGGAUCAAGACUCUAUACUUUAAGACCCGACCGACCUCAAUCCACUUAAAAGAAAGAAUCACCUCCCCGUAUCUUGCUUCUCACUCCUCUAUCGUAGCCAAACACUUGAACGGAAUCUUCUGUAGUAGCUGUAGGAUCUGUAUCCUGUUCGUUGGUUCCUUCUUAUGGUUCUCGUACACUUGUUUCUUCUGCUGACGACUUCACCUCUGAUUCUAACAUCUCAGUCUCUUCUUCUUUAUACGAUGAAAGUCAAGCCAAUCAAUCAUCUCUCUCGACAAGAACCUCCCCUCCGCCAAUAACCUAUCUUAUCGAUGCACCAACCUCCAUAGAUAGAGAUAGGAUGAAAGUAGCCAAGAACAGAACUCGCCUUAGCCAAAACACGGAGUCUUGCGCCAAAGACAAGACCACUUUAUUCCCUUAUGCGUAGUGCUACUCAUUAAUUGGAAUUUCACUCUCGAGCAUCACAUCUAAGAUCUUAUUAAUCUUACCCAUAUCUAUACUAAACACCCUUAUUAUAGAGCUUAUAACACGCAGAUAAUCUUUUAUAUCUGAGAAAACUCCCUCCUUUUCCUAACUCCCAACAAAGAAUUCCAUUGAAACAACUAAAGUUAGCACACGGAGUAUUGUUGGUCCUCGCGGGCAAUACUGAACGCUUCCGCUUGAAACUCUAUAAUAGUCGCUUUAAGAGCAAGUCCAACUCGGGGAGCUGGGGAUUCUCUCUCUCUUGUCGACUCCACCUUACCAGCUUAAGAUCUUUCUUAUGAUUGAUCUUCUGCUUUGGCCUCUGAUUCAUUAGACGACUUGGACGGACCACUGUAAGCUGAAGAAAAGUUAUCUCCUUCUGUAUCAGUACAAGUACCAGUACAACCGCGCUCAUAAGGGUGUUUAGUUACUGGAUUUUCUUCUCUUUUUGAAGAUCUAUAAGAUGAGCACUUAAGAGUGUGUUGCUACUUUCCCAUAUCAGUUGUGUAAGAGAGAUUCAUGAAUGUAAGGGAAGGGGGUGUGUGUUUCUUUCAUUCUACGCGCAAGCACUUGAGGUCUACCCUUCCUUUGCUUGCUUCCCCUUACCAGCGGUGGAAGUGAAGGAACUUUAUACUUAAGGAGUUACAACAGGACUUUGAACUUCUCUUGCAACAACAGUUGUACGCGAAUGGAAUUGAAAAAAGAGUAGCAUAUGAUUGAAGUGAACAAUGAAUAUGAUCCAAUCCAAAACUCAUGAAUAGAGGUGGAAGUACCUAAUGCAAUAGAGCCAUAGAAGCACCUAAUGCUAUAGAGGUAUAGAAUAUACUUACUUACUUGACUCACUAGCCCCAACAGCAUUGUGCCAUGCAUCAUCUUUCCAGGCGCUACUAAUAUAGGGUGAAAGGCGUUAGUGGCAGACUACUUAUUUGCUGUAUAGAAGGGAAGGCUCACAACUCCCAGAGUAGUUUAGGUGAAAAACACAGGGUUGAGGUCAUUAGUUGAAGAGUGUAGCGGCAGUGUUCAAGCUAACCUCUAGGAAUCGUACCAAUGAGUUAAGGAAUGAGGGAAGGGAUAGUAAGUUGAAGAUAAAGUAAGGCAGGGUUUAGGUUCAGCAACGAAAGUCCUAUGGGCAGUGUUCGAUCUGAUAUUUAGUAGUGAAAGGCCUUAGCAAUAGUAGAUUGAUUCUUGUUAGCACCAGUAGAGUUCUUCCCAGUCGUGAUAACCCUAGAAGCAGUAGUCAUAAUUAGAACUUCGAAUAUUGAUUCCGAGUCAGCGCCUAGAAGGCAUAAGGUUAGGUGUAUUAGGGGAAGCCUUGAAUGAAAUUCUGUAGUUAUGCGGCCAAACCCCUCAAAUAUCGUACUUGAUUCCAUCUGUAGAGUGCAAUUCUUCUGUAACUAACUCCCAGGAAAGGCAUUCUGAGACUUUCUCCUAUGAUUCUAUACUUGUAAUUGGAUUAUUAUGCGUGCUGGUGUCACUCCUAUGCUACUUAGUGAAACUCUAACUUGCCUGCGCGCCUACCAGUUGUAGUGUUGUUUAGCUCGUUAUUAGUACGAGUAUCCUUUGCCUUUUAUUGGUUUCUCGGGGCCUUAGUCUUAUGGCUCUUCCCAGCAUCCUGACCUUUCUAAUUGGAUUCUUUAUUGACUACUUGUCUUUAUUUACUACUUUCAAGAAAUAGGCGUAGGUUGUCGAGAGGUGGGUUCACUCUUUUCCUGACUUUUGGGUUGGAGUAUUACCUUCCCGACUCUCUUUCUUUUACUUGCUCUUUUCAUUUCGUAUAUGCCUUGCUCCACUCUCGUACUAACAAGUAGUAUAGCCUCUUAGCACGGCCCUAAAACCUAAUACUCUUUGGAUUAGCCCCAAAGCCUACUCCUUACAUUCGAAACUGGUAAAUCAACUACAAACUAUCAGAUCGAAACACUACCUAAUAAGAAGGAAAGUGGAUCACAGGAAUCAACACUAGACUAUUGGAAUGAAAAUCCAACCAGUCAGAGUGGAACCAGUGCUUCGGAGAAUCAAACUUGCGAUAACCAAGAAUAACUCCGGUGCUUAUAAGCCAGCUCUUUCCUUCUGUGAUUCGGAUUUGCCUCUAUCAAUAUUACUUUACUGUGUUUCUAAGGCUCUAGUUAACCUCUUUCACUCCGGGUGGGUGUCCAGCGAUCUCACAAUUGCACUCGGGAAUCCAACUCGAAAGUCAUAUACAUCGUAAUAGGAACUCGGUCUGUGACUACUGAUUGAAAUUCCCUAACCACUGCAUCGGAUCCACCAAGCGAAUGCUAACUACUAAAUAGGACAAGCUACUAGCAAAACCAUAAUAAUAACCCCCCUUGCCGCGUAGCAAGACUUAUGCUCUAAAGUCACUCUUCCCUUUACUGGCUAUACGCCUAUAUCCCUUGACUCCAACUCUGCUUUUACUAACGGAAAGUAUGCCCCUUCUCGGACUCCGAUUCUGGCUAUCCCUUAUAUAGAUCCGUCUCCACUAACCACCAUUCUUACUAAACUGCAUCUAAGUCCACAUCGACUCCAUAUUAGUAUACAAUCAUAUUGAUUAUGAAAAAGCUGUAGAUCCUUUCUUAGAAAAAGGAAACUCGGCCUAAAAGUAAGGGUCGUUAACCUGUGAGUUUGGGGUAGGUUAUUCCAUUUUCAUGUGCUGCAUCAUACCUCAUACUAAUAUGGAGAAACAAACCCCAGUCUCCUUAACUCGAUUACUAAUACCAAUAAACCAACCCAAGGCUUGUACUGCGCUACUGGAUCUUACCCCGAACACAGCACUCAAAGACAAGGUGCUGAAAGCCUAGUGUAAACAAUACUCUAUCUAUUACUAUUAUCACUCUGCUACUAGACCAGCACUGGAUACUUCACUUCUUCUGAUAACCCACUGGGAUGGAGUUCUGAUAACCCACUGGGAUGGAGCACUUAGUGAGUUCUGUUCGAACGUAUGUAUUCAAUAGUUUCUGAGUAGCUUGUUUAGUAGUUGCUGGGUCUUUCUCAUCUUGCUUUCCUAGUGGCUCUUUAAAUGCAUUCAUUUCUCCUAUAAUACGAUCCUACUGCUCGAAAUAGAACUGCACCUUCCGAUACAACAUCUACUGCACCCACCUGACGCUGAUAUGAAAACAGGAACUCUACAAAUGUGGAAAUCCAGACUUAUUGGGGCAGGACCUUUACCCGCUUAUUCCGUUUCAAAGUACUAAAUUGAUCUUAUAUCUUAUUGAGCACAAGAUAUAGAAUGAAGUAAAGACACAGCAUCCGCAUCUCCUUUGGGAACCGCUGCACUUCUCUAUUAGGAUUACACUCUCACGUAACUUUGCGCUUCUGCUGACGAAACCUAGAACGGAUUCUUCUCGGCUUGUUGAACUACUUGCACCUGCUCUUGUUCUUGUUGGGACUUGUAAAACCGACCCGGAUACAGAUUGACUUAGACUUGAAGUGAAGCUGACCUCCUACUUGCACCUUCGCAUUCAACAUGAUAUUCAGAAAUUCCCUACUUUCUCCAUUAAGUAAACUCAAUCAAGCAUUGAAACUAAACAACUGCCCAACGAUUUCAUUAACGCCUAACAUCUUGAUAGUUCCUUCCCGCUUCCUUGAUAUCGCACUGAACAAGCGUUAGGUAAGCAUUCAUUCGAUUCGAGAGGAGAUUCCAAUUUGAGUAGAGCGGGUGCGCUAGUGAGUUGAGUGUACUCUUACUUGUUUAUAUACUCACCUCUGACUUUCAUCUUAGCAUUCAUCAUUCAAUUAACUAACUCGAACUAGAAACUUUCCCCUUUCCCUCACACAUCUGGCAGCUUCCUUAGCGGGGGCAGCAGACUUUCGAACGUGACUUUCAUUUCAAACCUAUACUUUAUGUGAAUUUGCUUAUUCUUUGUCUCUCGUUGACUUGGAGGCGGGACAAUCCAAUAGUUUACUUGGAGUUCAGUGGAGUUAUGGGCUUUUUCCCUCUGGCGCCCUUGAUGCUUACUUGAUAUUGGAUUCUUCCUCUCACUCGACUUGAAGUUAUGACCCGAUUGUUGUUGACCUGACUGCAAUAGAUGAAAUUCCCGGGUUACUCUCUAUGCUCUCACUUACUAGUUCAAUUCACACUUGUUUACAAGAGCACUAGUUUCUGUGUUGGGCGAUAAGGGAGAAUCAUAUCCAUCCUAGGCUCAGGUGCUCGAUAAAAAAGAAGAAAUUCAAGGGAACAGAAGAAGGCACUAGUCUAGAAACGGACACUAGGGAACAGAAACGGCCUUAUCGGUCUGUCUUCCACUGUGGGACCGCCCAAUGCUUAAAAGACUACCCAACCCCAUUAGGAAUUGAAUACCGCCCACUAAAUGCUUCUAAUGCUCCUUAAAAGGUGGUAUCAUUCUGUAUGAUGUAAGAUGGCGUACUUCUUAUAGUGCUUGGCUUGACCCUUAACGUAAAUGGUAUACGAGUUUAGGUCUGAAUUCUGAUCUUAAGCGGGAUAAGAAACAGGUCCAGGCCCAGUCAAAAGAUCUGAAGGCAGUGCGAGAUUGAGUAGAGUAUAUUUCUGUUCGACUUUCCCCUGCGCUCGAAAGGAAAGAGAAAAUGGUAUAGCUUCCCACAGGACUUGCUACGGAUGGGACUUACUGUGUUGUCAGUUCAGAAAGGAGCGUUCGAGCAUUGGCUCUAAGUCGGUCAUGGAGAGAGGUCGCUGAACCCGCAAGGGAUCCAGAAAGAUGUUAGGAUUGAGAUGGCGCUGAUGGAGUUGUUGUUCCGUUAAGGAAAGAAGAAAUACUUAAUGGGUUUUUGAAGCGAGGUGUAUACUUAAAGUGGAUAGAGGUUUUGUGAUGAUUGUGUUGGUUCAGAUGAGUUCUAGGUUCAUCGUACUAGUACUAAGAAUCAUAGGCUAAAGCAUCAGCCGGAGCAGUUACAGUUUCAAGUCCGAAUGGAACUUCCCGCUUCAUUUCCUGUAAUUUCUUAUGAUUCUCCACUUGCAGACAAUGGCACAAGAAGAACUUCAAGUCAUUAUUCUGCUUCUUCUAUUUAUAUAGGAGAAAGGUAGACAACAAACACGGAUGAAAACUAUCCCUGCCCGCCUCUUCUCCUCAUACUUAUUCUAUACUCAACGUUGCUUCUUUAAAAACCACUUUGAUUCUAUUGUGCUAACGUGAGUUCUAUACUUGAGACCUAAGUUAUUGAAUUGAAUGGAGUGCACCUGGGAAGAGCGCUACCAUUUCAUAUUCUCGUUUUUCUCCAAAUAGCAUUCAGAAAGCCUAUGGAGUACCGUACAAAAUGCAACAAUUCCUUUUUUGUGGUUUGUGUAGCGCGGCGAGUUAUGAGCAAGUAAAGCCAGGAAGUCAGAUAGAUGAAUAGCUCCAUUGGUACACUCCCGUUCCAUGCCUACAGCAAUAAACAACAGGACAACUCUCCUUGGGACGAGAUAUGAAGUAGCCCGAGCUCUGCUUACCGAUUAAUAAAUCGAAUGGGCUUUCCCCUUUUCUUCUUUUGCAUUUCUAUAUUCUAUAUGGAAAGUUCUACGAUACGCUCUUUUCUCAUUUCAUUAACAAGUUUCACUACGGGGUUGACAGAAUAUAGCUUAACUACUAAUCGAAAGCUACGGGUACCCAAAAUCCAACAAGUGGAGGGGAAUGGGAUUAUACCACCAUACACUUAAUGAGUUUCCACAGCGUACAGAAAGAAAGGCUUGCUUCGGUUGAGGACUUUUUCGAAAGGCAUUGAACUGCAGGAAUGGCUAGACUGAUUCGAAUGCUUACGGAAUGGACCCCGAGAAGGAAUAGAAUAAUAAGAUACACACCCAAUAGACUAGAAGCAAAGCGAAUGAAAACAACAUAAGCAAAGGCUCUUCGUAAGAACGGAAAAACUCGUUAUUUAACGCCUCCACUGAUUCACCAAUCGCUUCUUUCAAGGCUUCUUAAACCAGGACCGCAUCGAAAAGCGGAUACCCUUGACUUUGUUGAGUAAAGCCAAUAUUUCUCGCCUACUUGCCUCGGCUCACUGAACUGGGUGACUCAACUUUCUUUCGAGAAGACAGUCAAAGCAGAAGACUCACUUUAGGGUGUUGUGAUCCUAGUAGAAGGAGCAGGGGCACUGAGAAAAGAUGCAAUUGAUCCUGCUCCCCCGCUAACUAAGCUCUAGGCAAGCAAGCCUCCGCUCGGAUUACCUGAGUAAGUGUGAGACUCCACCGAUUGAGAGUGACUUCCAGCCGGAGAUUGAAAUGACUUCCUUCCAACAUGUUAAGGGACUCCAGACUUGUAAAAGCGCGUAAAAGCAGCACAGUACCAGCAUCAAAACCUUCCUUCUAAAUAAACUCAUGGGGAGGACAGGACUCCGAAUCCGAUCAAAGGGAAUUGACCGCCCCUAAGAAGAAGGUAAGAAUAUAUCCUGGCUAACUAACAUAUGCCUUGGUGGAAACUGAAACGACUAUGUCAGGACCCUGGGUGAGUAGAUCGCAAAUUGGCCUAAGAGGAAUGACUAGCUAUCAAGCUAUAAGUGCAAAUCCCAGUUCUUACCAUCAUCGAAUGAGCGGUGGAAUAGAAGAAUUGUGAGCUCCUCUGGGAUAUAAGGAAGAGCAGGUCUUUUACUGGUCUUUAAGCUCAUAGGCUUUGAUAGGUAUGAAGUCUUUCUACUGCUAUAAGAGGAGGUGAAGCGGAAUAAACAUGAACUCAUCUUUCUGCCCUUUCUACUGAAUAAACAUGAACUCAUCUUUCUGCCCUUUCUACUGCCUUUCCCGGAUCUAAUGGUAAAGCAUACUAUCUCUUUAGCAGACGAGUAACACCUAUUAAGACAUCCUCCAAACCUUUUCAAGACGGUAAGCCUCCGAGCAACAAGGCGGAAUUGGAUUCUGGAAUUCUACUUCAAUAAAAGAUGAUAUGAUUGAUAUAUGAAAUUAGACAUUAGACAUUAGACCAUCCUUUCCUAAAUAUUGAAAAAAAAGAUAUGUUUCAUUAAAGGAAGGAAUUGUUAUAACAAGAGGAAGCGGCUCUGCCGCGCAACAUUAGUAGUUGCUUGGCGGUUGCUGCCGCCUUCCCGCUCGCUACCGUUUCACUCAACUCCCGAAAGCAUCUAUUGUAAUAACUCGUAAUAUCUAUUACUAUUGCUACCGCCGAGAGCAUCUACGAGGACAGGACUUGUUAAUAACUGGCUAUAACAUAUCUAUGUUGUUGCUGCCGCGCAGCGGCUUGCUUAGUUGCUUGGCCCUUGGCCCGAGUGGCUUGGUCAUUAGUAGUUGCUUGGCGAAUAGCAAAUAUAGACUUUCUUUACUUAUAGCUUAGCUUCCUCUCCUCAAGCGUAUACUACAGACCAAGCUUAGUAGUUUGAAACAGAAGAAUUAGCUAUAUACAGCCAAGUCAGUAUAAGCCCUAAAGCAAGGUAAGCAGUUAGAGCAGAGCCUUUACUAUAAGCUGUAGAACCCAUCCCCUUGAAACUCCCCUUUCCGACCUCAACUCGUCUUUCUUUCUUAUGAGACCCCUAAGGCUCCGCAGUCCUCUUCUCUUUCUCCUCUCCUACUUGCUCCUCUCUGCUAACUUAAUUCGGGAUACCUCGCUUCAAAGCCUCUCUUCUGGCUACAACUACUGUUAUUGCUCUAGUCUACUCCGGACUACUCGUAUACAUGUGUGGGAUGGGAUUCUACACCUAAUGAAGGGGAUGAAACUCUACAACAACGGGCUAGGCUCUGUCAACUAAUUCUUCUUUCUGACCCCGACCAGCUCUAUUCUGCCACUCCAUAGCAUCAGUCUCAGUGGCCCCAGUAUCAGUCUCGGUGGUACUGCUUUGACUCUGAGUCUACUUAGUUUGAUUCUUGCACAGAGGAAACUCAAUUAUGAACCAACUACUUGAGAGAAAGAGGCGCGGGUUAGUUACCCACCUACCCAUUCCAUAUCAACUCCAAACUAGACCUACCCAUUCUAUAUCCACUACCCCAACUAGUUAUUCCGUUUCCUACCGUUACAGGGCAAUGAAUUUUCAAACAUCAACUAUAUUCUUUGUAUGCAGAGUAGCGGUCAGUAGCUUAUUCUAUUACUUAAUGAAUAUUACUUAAUGAAGAGUUGCGGUUGGUUAGCAAUUGUAUUAUGAAAUGAAGGGGAGCUAGGUUAGAUAUAAGGAGGGCAAUUAAUACUUUCUAGUGGAAUUAUUACUGUUUAAAACACAUGGUAGGCUAGAAAGAGCACUGAGUUAGUUACAAAUUCGAUUUCUUAAGGCCCUAGAUAAUACCCUAAUUCGGAAUGAAGCCUUUUUUGUAGAAUUCCUUGUAUGAAGUAGUUGCUUUGAGUGGAAUUCCUUGUAUGAAGUAGUUGCUUCUUGAGUAUUGUAUGAAGUAGUUGCUUCUUGAGUCAUAAAGAGUAGUACUAAGAUCACAGUACUAAGAUCAGGAGCUGGUCACAUUAAUCUAUAUCCCGCGGCAAGAGUGGAAUAUGUAGUUGUGUUGUUGGAGAAGUAGUUAAAGAAUCAGUAGCUGUUGUUCGAGAAUCCGUAUUGGGAGUUGCAAGUAAAGAGUCUUGUUUUAUAGGCUUAAGUAAAAGGUGCUUUUCAACUGUUAACCUGGUAAGAACUUAGGUGAUGAUUGUGCUUGUGGCUAAGGCUUACGCUCCUAGUAGUAGAAUUGAGUCAAGAACUUAUUCAGCGCGGUGAAGUGAAGUGGAUAGAGUGGCGGUGCUCGUUUUUCUUAAGAAGCCGUUCUUUAGUUCUUCUCAAGCAGAUCAUUAGCAGUUCUCAAGUCGUCUGCAAGCAAUAUCUAAAGCAACGGAUCUGAGGCGAAAGUAAGAUAAGAAGCGAAUCCUGAUAUCAUGCAAGCGAAGCGGGUAAGGUAGUAUUGUAUAGAUUUAUUGGUCAGAAUAAGCUGGAUCUGUAUCAUCCGCCAAAGAAGGAGAAGAAUUGGAAUUAGACUCAACAAACCCUAACUCCACUUGAGCACUAAACUUUACCUCGAACAGCAUUAGCUCCAGCAGUUGAUCAUUCUGCCUUAAAUUAUUGAUACUCUGCACUUUGGCACGGAUUCUUCUCUCUCUCGAACCCGAUACUAUACUUUCAACAAAACUGUAUACUGGACCUCUAACUAUCACCAAGUCCUGUGUUUGGCGUUCGUCGUCAGUCAUCAGUGUUAGAGAACUGCAAGCAAUGACUCUCUCCCUCUCGCUUGAGUAAGGAAGCAAAGCAUUGAUGUUAGGUUAGCUUACGUGGCUUGGACUCUAUUAUUUGGGGGGAAAGCUGGUGGCUCCCUUUCUCGCUUCCAAGAGCCGACUUCUACUUUUUAUCACAUAAUGGGCACGCAAGCAGCAUCACAAAUUCCCAUAGAAGCCAAUCAGUCGGGCAGGGGAGGCGGCGGUGCAAAAGCUUCCCACGGCAAGCAGCUUCAAAAGCAGGCGGAGAGUGGAUUCUGGACUCUUGUCUAUAAGGGGACUAGCUUGCAGUCUUGUAUGAUGUAGGCUGUAUAUAAAUUGGAGUAAUGGCCUCGGGCGAGCCUAGAUCCCGAAGAGCCUCCAAAAUACAUCCAACUGUCUACAUCCUCACCCGUUCUUUUUCUCAUCCAACUGUCUACAUCCUCACCUGUUCUUUUUCUCAUCAAACGUCUGCUUGUUGAGUUUUGCAGUUCGGUUACUUGAUUCAAAGAAAAGAGCCACGCUAACACUUUCUGACUUAAGCCACGCUAACACACUUUCUUACUUAAGCCAAGCAAGUUCUUUCAUGAUCUGGUUGUGGGCUUUCGUAGAUACUUUCUGGAUUAUUCCUCUGCCUGCCUUUGAAGUAUCUAGUGCUGCUCCUGGCAUCGAUGAUCAAUACAGAGCUAGUGGGGCUCCUGACACCGAUGAUCCAUACAGAACGAAUUGGUCAAUUAUAUCAAUACCAUCAACAAAUAUUAACUCUGAGUCAUAACUCUCAUUCUUAUCUAAUAACUCUAAUUCUUAUCUAUAUGUAGGAAUGGGCAACUUUCGUUCUGUGCCGAACCUUAGUCGUCUCUUGGCUUAACUUCGUGAGUCUUAGAUUAGAGCAGAGGAUUCUUUGAAGGGCAUAAAGAAGGGUUAGAGGUAAGUGUGUGCUUAGGGUUCGAUAAGUAAACAAGCAAACAACUAGCCUAGCCCGAAAGAUAGGAUUUCUUAGAUUCCUACUCUCUUGUCUCAAACUUACAUUACUGCCUUUACUCUUCCACACUACUAAUUGAAAGCCUGCGACUACCAGCUCUAAGACGGAAAGUAUCAAUACAAAGAAAUCAACUCAAACUACCAAACUACCUACUAUAGGAAGAUAACUCAUAAGCCGGAGUCAAACUCUCGGACAAGCAAUGGAAUCUAUUAAUUAACCUAGCGCUUCUUAGACCUCCCCUACCAACUAGUAAUUGAACCACUGCGAACUGGAAUCUCUCUACCGGCAAACAGGCCAACUAUCCUUUGGUGAAAUCUGAUUCGCCUGCCCAUAAUAGUCCACCUGCCUCGCUUUGAGUCUGACUGCCCUAACUCCUACUCUUUACUACCAUGUCGAUCAGUCUACCUUGGCAUACUUUCAACCUGCUUCGUGAGUAAGGACAGCUUCUAGGUCAGCAGCUAGAGAAUCCAAAAAGCAUAAGUAGACUAAGAAAAGGGAACGGCAGGCUAACAUCAAAAGAGCAUAGGAUCCACAUCAGUUGUUAAGCAAUCAAAGCCAGGAGCGUAAGAGCUGAACCCUAGUUUGUGUGGGCAAUAUUGGAGAAUGCGAUAAAGCUACUACAGUCUUAAGAUAAAUAAGGGUAAGACUAGGUGUUGAUAGGCACAAAAAUAGGGAGGCUUUCAGCACCUUAGAUCGGUACCUCGAUUCUUGUAUGCCCUAUUGUGGAAUUACCCUAGAAGUGCCAGUACCCUAUUUGUCUUCGGGAACUACUAUUACUAGCCCUAAUCCAACCACCGGUACCGAGGUGACCUUAAAGCUGACUUUGCUUGUUUUGACUCUUCAGCCACUAACUGUAGGGAUCGAACACUGCCCAGCAACAAUAGAAUCACUAUCUUAUCUAACAAGCUAUAAACAGUGCUUCCCAUGCUUUCAGUCUAUAACAAGUACUUAUGAUCCUUUGACUUCCUAAGAGGCCCAGACAGAUUAUAUCCACUUUUGUAGCCGUAACCCGCUCUGAGAUCUGUUUGUUCUCCUUAUCUCUUACUCUUGUUCCCCACUAGCUGGUAUAGCAUAGUUUUCCCUUAUUGGUAAAGGAUAGUUCAAGCCCAACUCCCAUCCCAAGUCUGCUUACCUAUUUCCUGCCCUUAUAGCAGCCUUUCAAGGAGAUGUCUGUUGGGUAAUUAAUUGUACGCUGGACAAGGGAAUGCUUUAAUGACUUGAAUGACUUGGGUUGGAAUAUGUUAGGUACAUGUCCGCUUCUUCAACAAAGUACCCGACUGCUGAUGUGCUUUCCCGUCCAACAAGACCUUUAUUGCCUCUGAGGCCAAGGGAUGAUCUCUUCUUCUUUUCUCUUUAGACUAUUGGCACGAAACCGAGACGGACGCUCACAUUGUAACCAUCUUUGCCAUCCAACUUUGACUCGUCCUGAUUUAAGUAAACUGGGCAUCUCUAUUUAUGCAUGCUUCUCGAUGAACCGCCUAUAUUAUCAGUAAGCUUGCCGUUCCCUCUCUACCUGCUUUCUCUCGAGAGCAUGGAGCUUGCGUUCUGAGUUUCCAAAUCUCCCAUCUGAAACGCAAGGGUCCGAAGGAGCUCUUCCCGGCCUUCUGUCGAGUACCAAAUUGACUAUUCCUUCAAUCUGGGAUAUGCUACCUAAACUUUCUUAGGGCGAUCGAGUGCGGACUUUGCUCACCUUUGCGUCUGCUGCUUAGUCUUCUUUUGAGUUAGCAUCUGGUAACCUCGCAUAACCUUGUUAGCCUUCUUUCCCUUCGAACUUCACUAUCCGCUUAUUGGGAAUCCCUGAUCCAUGCAAAAGGUGAAAUCUCUGUAGUACCAAACUAUCCCUAUUCGGUGCUUCAAAAGCUGGUGACCUCCUAUCUGUCUUAGCCGAGCUAGCUUUGUGUUAUUCCCUUCGAUCCGCUUAGUCUCUUCUUUCCUCUACCGUUGGUCGAGCGUCUUCAAACCUAUACCAGUCCCGGACUCAUUGAGUCUUGUUUCAGAAUAGCUCCUCUUUACUUCCAUACUAGACUAGCAAGUACUAUAAGGGGGUUCCCUUUCCACCUUGAAACUGAACCAACAACUCGACACCCAUUAGAAACGAGUCCUUUGUUCGCCGAGCAGACAAGCAACGGGACAAGUAACAACUAGUGCUGCAUAUAGAGAAAUGAAACCUCACACUUGACUCACUCAAUUGAAAGAAAGGCUUUCCGCACCUUGUGCUAACGCGAAUGACUAUAAGUAGGCGGGGCGCAUUAGUUGACAUUUGUGUCUAUCUCUUCUACUUCCAUAAGCAUAAGUCAGAAAGUCACUGAACACCUUUUAUUCCGCGUGGGUUGUGUAUUGAAUACGUGUCUCUUGACUCUUAAGUGCUUGACUUAUUUCGUAGAUAGAAGCUCUUUUCUCAUGCUGAGGUUAAGGCUAGAGGCUCAUCUCCUCAUGCCCACUACAUAGAAAAGAAUCCUCUCUAUAAGGGCGGAGGCUCCGUCUUCAGUCAGCGGUCAAAAGAUAGAUGAGUUUACAGCGCGGUGUCAAUCAGUUUAGGGAGGUUCGCGGCGGUAACGGAAUCAGCGCAAGUCAGCAGCAGGGACGGGAGUAGUUGAAGAAGCCUCUGAGAAUUAUUCCAUUCAAGUUCACCUUGGCGCAACAAGACUAAGGGUGUUACAGUUAGGGUCAGUGAGGUAAAGAACGUUCAAGCCCCGAGUAGUGUCCUUCUCCUUCUGUCUGAAGCGAGGUGUAUACUUAAAGUGGAUAGAGUGAAAGGCUAAGCCCGAGCCGAGUGUCGGUGUUCUAGCUCCAAGUCAAGCUCGGGUUACAGUCUUGUAAGGCCAAUACAUCUUGUGCUUAAGGGCGAAAAUCUUUUACUGGUUUCCUAGGUGCAAGAGAAGACCUUGUUUGCGAGAUGAGCUACCCCUAUAUUCUCUAUGGGAUGUGGGAUGCGCAUAAGUAAUACUAAUAAUGAAUCUAGUAUAAGGAUGCAUAGUAUAAUUAGUAUAGUAUAAUGAAUAUAGUAUUAGAAUGACACCUAAAGUCAGACAGAUUCCACUAUACCACAAAGACAGAUUCAAAAGGCACCAGCUAUCUUUCCCUUGUCUGAUGGAACUCCAUUGAAAUAGAAAGCAAAUAGAGGAAAUAGAUACUCUGAGGUAUGCUAUGAAAAAAGAACCUUCUUUCUGGAAUAUUGUAUUUAUAUGGGCACUUGCACCUGACUCUUUACCUAGCUCUCUCACUAGCGCUAUACCCUUUUAUUACAACACUCUAUCCUACCCUGGAAUAUUUGUAUUAGACCCUAGAAUACCAGAAAACCUUAGAAUCUUAUCGAGAGCGCUCUAUACUAGAGGAAAGAUUGCUAUGAAGUGUGAGAAGGCAACUACUGUGACACCAGCUGUACAGGCUAUAAAACGUCCUGGUAACUGACUCUACUCCAUGGGAAGGGGACAAACUAGAUCUCGCCUUAUUACUAGAUAUCGCCUUAUUUCAUAAGUGUCCCGGCAAGCAAAGAAAGAGAGUACUGGCUUGGCAUCCCUUUUCAUUCAUACAAAAGAUCAGGCACUCAAGAUGUUGGCUGGAUCCUCACGACGCUUUGCUUUGAUUGCUCUUCGGAUGUCGAUAUGAGUUAUUCAAGCAUAAAGUCAGAUGUCAGUUUAGUGUUAUGUUAAUAGAUUCUAGAAUAUUAUAGUUCUCUUUUUGGAAGUGUGUUUACUUUACUUAUAGAAUGGAAUCUUUGUCUUAUCUGAAUGGAAUUGAGUGCACACAUAAGAUCUAAUUGAUUAACCUAGCAUGAAACUCUAGAAAGGGUUCCAUUAAUGAAUUGUGAUUCGCCACAUAACAAGAACAGGCCCAGUACAUUUCACGCUCUGUAGGAUUUGAACCUACGACAUCGGGUUUUGGAGACCCGCGUUCUACCGAACUGAACUAAGAGCGUUACGACAGGAGAGAAAGCAGUAAGUCAAAGGAUUCAUUAUCUACCGCAUAUGCAUAUAUGAGAAUGAAACAGCAUCUUGAGUCCAAUUGGAAUCGAUCUAAACCCUCCUUACUGCCUAUACUAUAGUUGUUUAAGUAAUGGGUGGUAGGGAUGACAGGAUUGGAACCAGUGAAACAUUUGUGACGCGCUACCAAGCUUCUGAACUCCACUGAUUGUCUGCUUCUGAACUACUAUCCAAUUCCAUAUGUAGUUGUUAGCUAGCUGUUCUAUUUCUUUGAUGCCUCCCGCGCAACAUCCCUUUUUCCAAAUUGUUGUACUGUGGUGUCAUUGUCCAAAAUCCAUGUCUCUUCAAGACGACUUCAAUGGGGACAACAAUGGGCGUAGCCUUACGAAUCGAAUACGGGUUAGAGUGUUGUUUACGAAGAUAAAGGGAAUCAAGACGGUACCUUUGUGAGUCGACCCCGGAUAAAGGCAGGAAGUAGUUCAAUUGCCAAGUUCGAGUUUUCCGAUAGGGUACCGAGUGGAGCUACAGGGUUAGAAGGAAAUGGAACGGCGGAAUAGACCAACUGUUUACGGAUGUCGGAGAGUCUAAACCGAUAGUCCAAGGUAAUGAGAAAGGAAAGAAAGUUGAGCACAUUUCCAUACUUGGGUCAGGCAGAGGCCAGGGUUGGUUUAUAACCCAAAAGAGAAGAAGGCUUUCAGCACCCGAACAGAGCCCUACCCAUUAACUAAACACAUGAUAGGCAAUAGGAACCCCGACACGAACCCUUUGUUAUUCGCCCCGGAGGAGGGCCCUACUUUUGUUGUAGAUUAUAUGGAUCUUUCUCUACCCUCCCUUCUCCAUCAUUUCGAUUCCCAUUUUUCAAUAUCAUGGGUAGGUGUUCUAAUCUUAUCCAGUGGACAGCUGGAGUUUCUCUAUGGAUUUGAACUAUAGGAAGCAGCAGAUUUCCCAAAAACUUGCAAAGUCUUGCGGUCGCCGAGGACGUACGCUGAACCAGAUUCCAUCGAUGCCUUAACUAAGGGUUAUUUCGCAUUCGUUGUAGCAUUAGUGAACUCGAGUUGCCUGCUAGAGCUAGACGGUUUACGGACUCCUUCCCCAUUUCCAAAUAAAAGUAUCCUAAGGUUUAUCCCGGGAGAAUUCGGUGUCUGGGAGGCCCCUUCGUAUUCAAGGCAGAUGUCGCCACUUGUUAUAUUACGCCAGUGGAGUGCCUUUUCAACCUAGCCAAGUCUCUCUAUUUCAAGCUAAGGAGAGAGAGUGAGUGCCAUCCACAACCAAUACUAGUUAUUCUUAUCUUAUCUUUAAAUGGAAUGGCACAGUUAUUCGAAAACGAGAAAAUGGAGGCUAAAGGGCUGUCUCUAUAUGACCAAGAUAAGAAAGAGAUAUUAUGCUAUACGAAUAUUUGGAUAUAUUAUUCUAUACUCAGCGAAUUGGAACUAGUUCGAUAAGGAAGGCCAAUAUGAAGCAAGCUAUGAGUAGAUCGUGAGUGGGAACUUAGUUGUAUGCGUGCUUCCCUGAAAUGGUACUUUAAUGCUGGAGCUGUUGUCGAGCUAUCUAAGAGCUAUACCACACUGAGCUAUACCACAUAAGAAAAAGAAGAUGAUAGAAUACUAAUUAGAAGAUUACCCUCACCCAUAGCCAUUCCUUUCAAUAAAACAAAGGGAUUUCCCAGCCGUCUAUUGUGGUUAUUCCUUACCCAACAUCUACCGACCUUGGCUAUCUUUUAGGAAGCUUACUUAGCUUUAGCACUAUAUUAUGUUGCAUUUGGUUGGUCCCCCCCUUUUGAUUGCUUUCUUUUCCUAUGUCCUUUGCCUUCGACCUCUUCUUUGCUUACCUUGAAUUGAAAGCGGUAAGUAAAAUAGCUUAUCCGCCCUAGCUGCUUAGACUAAGUGGCGUGUCAAACCACCGAGAGCAGACGGUUAUACAGUCAGUCCCUAGCGUGUGCAACAAGGAGCAUGGUGAAACGCUGCGCAAAGAGGCUUCUUCGAACCUUUGUGUUCCACUAACCAUCAACGUUGUAGAAAGAACCAAAUAUGUAAUGAUUGAGGUGGGCCAUGCCGAGAAUCAUCGAUAGGCGGGAGGGCACCGAAGCUACCACCAUACUCGCGAAAGGUUUCCCGACGAGGAGAAGGAUAAGCGAAUGACAUUAUUAUGAAAUUGAUGAUUAGAACCUACUGAUUCAGGAAGUGACUCCUCGCUACCAGAGCGGAAAGGCAAGAUAGGCCUUCAUUACACCCAAAGGGAAAGCGAAGAGCCGACCCUAAAAGAUACCACAUACCCAUAUAGGUAAAAGGCUAUCUCGAUAUCCUAAUAAAUGAGGAUUAGGGCACACCGGUCAGGUCCGGAACAAGGGACGUUGGGUUCCUACUCUGUUGAUGAAUCUGUUCUAUACACCAAAGGAAAGAAGCAUCGGAUUUCUUUCUUAUAUUACUAUUCUUCGGCUCUAUACUUACCCACUUUCUUAUAUUCCUAUUGUUCGGAUGUGGCUUCAGGGUAUGUAUGCUCAAUAAAUCUUCUUCGGAUGUGGCUUCAGGGUAUGCUCAAUAAAUCUAUCCGCGACCUAGGAUUUCACAUUCAUUUAUUUCUUUCACACAUUCAUUUAUUUCUUUCACUGAGAGAUGGCGCGUCGUGGGAAGAAAAGGAAGUAGGAUAGAAUAGAAGAAGCACUAGAAUGGCCAAGCAAAAGAAAGGGGUCCUCUUAGGUAGUCAAAUCUGUCUAAUGGGUAAUGUCCGGUAUCAGGAGUUUCUUAUUAAGACAUAGAUUAGGAACCCCGAGUGGGGAAGUUUGCUCUACGGGCUCUGCCACCUAUGGAUAUCUUUUCCGAUUAGUCCGAUUCGAGAGCUUGAUCUUAUCGAAGACCGGCUUACAAAGCUUUAUCAGCUGGACAACAAAGGCCGCGGGUUUGAUUAUACUUCUUUUCCUAUUGUCUUUAUCUAAAGGCUGAAUUUGCUUGUUUAUAGGUCUCCUGCACAGGGGCAUAGCAUGGACUUCUUUUUUCAUUAAUAUCGAUCAAAAGCUAGCCCGAAAGCAGCUUACCCAGAUUCCCUUAGCUAUUUUACUGAAAGCCUUACGAUGGACUCUCGAAGGGAGAGGUGGGUCAGAGUGAGAGUUAGCUCGUGUAGGCAAGGGAAGAUAUGUCCUGUGUUCGGGUGCUGAAAGCCCAUUUGAGCUGGUUUCAUCGGCCGAAGGUACCUAGAGAAACUUUCCAUCCAAAAUACCCCGGGUUAUCCUAUUUAUUAGUCAAAGUUCUAUCCCAAACCUUAUAGGGAGGGUUCUUAGUGGGAAGAAUCUUAAUGAAGGAAGGCAAGACUCAGUCUAAUUCUCCAAAUACCGAGAGGUAGGACAAUUCGAUCGCUGCUACUAAGCAUGAAUCCCGACAAGAUGCUACGCCCCUAUCCUAUGUUAACUUACCGGCACGGAAACGAAUAGUAAUGAAUCUUCUCUCUUUUCUUUGACAGACGCUCCGCUCCUUAUUUGGAGUAUAAUGCUACUUGCUUUGUUAAUAACAUCUAAAACCUCUUUUGAUUCAGCAGCUUCUUUUUCUCCUUGCCUUCUUUGUGGGUUUUUUCACCAUUCUGCAACUUUCAUAAACGGAAGCCCUUUUUGUAUGGAUAAAGCAAGGUGCUAAGAGCCUUUGUCCAAAACACUUCCCUACUGAAUAUACAAAGCUCCCUUCCCCUGAACUGUUUGAGCUCCAUGCUAUAGACUCUUUUAUCACAUUCUGAAUUCAUGAUUAUCUUAUUAAGGAUUUAGUUGAGAAAGAUCUUCUGCCGGGCCCCAGGUGUUAAGAAUACAGAGCGCAGGUCAUUCUAGAAUCAGAGGUUCACUUAAGCGGGUAAGUCCCAAGUCAGAGGUCAGCAGCAAACGAUAAGGGAGUUGUUGACUCUGCGCUCGUAAGUCCUGUUUUAGGGAGCAAGAGGCAGAUAGAUAAACCAUUCAGAACUUUCUAGUUGGGGCGCUAAGCUUUUCAGAGGGUAUUAGUUUAGUUUACUUGACUCUAGCUCAAAGUAAUGACCAGAGAAUGGCCGGCCUGUUUGAAAGUAAUCCGUUUUAAGAUGGAUGAGAAUCAGGAUAAGAAGAAGUUGUGCCUUUGCCAGAAUAAGCUGUUCCAGAAGAAGUCAAGUCGAGUCGAUAAGUUAUGCUGCGGUAAUAGAAUCAGCGGGAAAGCCAUAAAGGUAUAAAGCGGGGACACUUCUCUGCAAUCGAACUCUUCUUUCUGUGAAGAAUGUGAUCAAGCAAAGCAGGGGCACUUCUCUGCAAUCGAACUCUUCUUUCUGUGAAGAAUGUGAUCAAGCUGCUCUAAACUACCAAAAGCAAAAGGCAACAACUCUCUUCCCGUCCCGUUAGCGCAUAUAUUCUUUUUGAUCUGAGAACUAUUUCUUGCUUCGAGCUCCCGUUAGCGCAACUCAUUCAUUCAUUGAAAUCCAUUCCCUAACGCGCAGAUCGAUUAAUGCUUCACACACCGAGAGUGGGUAAAUAAGUGAUAGCGCAACUGAACAAGUAGACGACUUGAGCACCCAAAGAUAUGAGUAAUCACUACUGAGAGCUUCAGCGGGACAAGCCCAUUCUAGGACACAAGUACCUAAGCUAAGUUGCACCCCAAUCAAUCCAAUAGUAGACUUUUAGCAAACUUUCACCUAUGUUCAAGGACUCGAAAGAAGCCUUCUUCAGCCUUACAACAUUAGCAAUAAGAUAAGUUUAUUAGAGAUCGAGCUGUAGACUCAAAAUCCGUGGUAGCGGUGUGAAAGUAAGCGGUCAGCGGGACAGGACAAUGAGUAUAAUCGGUAUAAAGAAGAUCAUCUCUUUUUCAAGCUCAUAUAAAAUGCCCACUAAACUAUGCGGUUAAGUAUCAAAAGUCAGAGUCAUGCUUGUCAGCAGCAAUGAAAGAUGGGUUCAGGGCAAAAUCCAGUAAAGGCGCGGGAUCCGCUGAUUAUCAACUUGAAGAACGUCUUGAUGGUUCCCCUGCGAGAAUCACCUUUACCCUGAGUACCACUUCUAUACAAGAGUAGAACUCUUUAAGCUUAUUAAGAAGGCAACUCUUUCCACUCUAUCUGGCAAACCACUUGUUGCUGACACAUAUUAAAGUCGAACAGGAAAAGAUUUGAGCGAUGAAUCCAAAUAAUGAAUAGAAACUUAUUUACACGAUGAAACUAGAAUAGAACUCAAAAGAGCGUAAGGGGCACCCCACUCCAAUACAUCCAAUAGUGAGUGGCCUUUUUGCUAACUUGAAGCUAUGGGAAACCCAUCUUUUUGCUAAUUACCUAUCUUGCCCUCCAGAAAACAGGACAGGAAAUUGAUCUAUCUAGUGAAAUGGAAUAUGGGAAUGGAGGAGCUUACUGACACCACUGAGUCUUGUCCGACCCCAACUUCACUUGCCGACAACAAAGAGAAAGCCUAGAAUAGAACCCGACAGAUGAAAAGGAAACUCCAUAUUUUAGGAAUGCACCAACUGAUACUUUCCGGAUUUCGCUUAGGCAUAUGAUCUUGUUCCGGGUUCACUCUAUUCUCUUAGUUCUUCUCUUGUUCGGGUUCUGUGUUUGUAUUCCUUUCAGUUUGUUUUCAAUUCAAUGAGUUUCUAGUUAGCGCGUAUAGAAAUAAUGAAAGAGAAAGCGCUUCCUCUUGGUAAAGGCAAUCUGUUGACGUGCACUCAAUUCCAUGAUUUUUAACGGGCGCAUAAGGAAGGGCCCAUCUUAGACUCCUUAGUUCGGGGAACAAGCAAGUAAGCAAGGGAAUCCGCAAGUGAACCAAAAGAAGCUAAUCGGAGAAAUGAGAACCUUAAAGUCCGGAGUCAGGUUACAUUCAUAUACAGUAAGGAAUGGGGUGAAAGCGAAAAGGGAAGCCAACAAAGCCGUUAAGUAAACAGGGAGUUAAGUUCGGGCAAAGACUUCAUUAAGGUAAGGGCCAUAGUGAAAGAAUAAGAUAGGGCUCAGAAGCGGAAGAGAAGGUCGGGUCCGGCAAUAUAAUCUGUGUGGAACUCGUGAGUUCUUUCAUUCUUAUUUGACUGUAUUCUGUUAUUGAUUACGGACUUCUCACUUAUAUAUAUCCUCGCUUACUUAUAUCUGUGGAUCAGAAGUAUGAGAAGAGUCAUUAAUUGAUUCUGAAAGGAACAGGUAAGCAAUACAGAACAGGAUCAGUGGAAAGAUCUGGUUAAGAAGUAUAUGAAGAAGAAUCCGGAUUUGAAUCAGGAUCAGAAGAAAGAGAGAAUCCGCUGUGGCGCUGCAGUGCCAAAGUAAGCAUCUUCCGUUUAUUCAAGUCUAGUUUAGGGCAUAUAGAAGCCGAGCCGAGAAGAAGUAGUUAAUCCGGGUUGGCUAAAGUAAGGUAAACAGAGUCUCCAUUCAAGUAAACCAUAGAAAGAUCUUCCACAGGAAAGAAGAUAUAAACAAUAGAAUCCGCUGUUUGUUCCAGUUAACUUAUUAAUUAAGCUCGAGAAUCCGCCGUGCAAUUGUAAGUUACAAGCGGUUAAUCUUCCAUUCCUCAAAGAAAGUAGAGUUCCAAAAGAGCCCUUCCCUUGUGCGAGUUCUUUGACUUAUACCUGCUAUACUCACGUUUUUUCUUCUUGGGAAUUCUAUCAGUGCUGUGCUUUCCCUAACUACACUGCUAGCACUAAAAACCUGUAUAACGCAAACGCAUCAAGUUGUAUUCCAGCUAUAGGUUGGGCCAGCCCAGAGCCAGAGUAAGGUUCGGCAAAAGAACAAGUUGAGUAGAGAGAAGAAACUAGAGCUAGUGAAGAAGCCAAGCCGGGGGAGCUGCCACAGAGGGGCGUUUGAGCUAGCAGUAAUAGGUGGAGCAGAGCCAGAGCCGAGUGGAGGCCUAGUAUCUAGAUCAUAGGGGAGAUUCUCCAUUUGCAUCGGACAGUUUUUCUACUUGCCUAGUGUCUUGUCUAGUCUAAGCUUGGCCCUUUCUUAACCGCUAACCACGAACAAAGCAAAAAGAAAACCAGAGGGAAUUCCCAAUUGGAUGAUGAUUAGCUUAUUCCGAAAACUGCUGCGGAAAAGAUCACACGGAUGGACAACGGUGAUUUCAAACAUCACGUUAUGCUUAUUACAUCCGAGAAAAGCACUUUCUUGCAUAAGCAGGUGGAAUCUUUCCUUUAGGUAGUAGAACUAGAGCUUAAAGCAACCCGCGGGGGCACAAUGUAGGUUGGGGUCUAGUGUAAGAAAUGUAGACUCGAUUCCAUACAAUCCGGGGCUUACGGCAAUAAAUCAAAUAUCAGAAGGCAUAACAGAGGCAUAGAGGGAUUACAAAGAAUUCUUUUUUCUCGGGAAAACGUGACUUUGACUCUUCUCUUCCCCUGAACUGUUUGAGCUCCAUGCUAUAGACUCUUUUAUCACAUUCUGAAUUCGCUAUCCCACGGUGCCGGAUCGAAAGCCUGCUAAAGUAGAUGGGAUUUCUCGCGCUUGGGUUCUAUUUGUCUUGCGGAUUCUUCAAGUACGUACGACCGACUGAAAGAGUUGGCUGUAGUUCAUAAGUAAAGUAGAUAGAAGCUCUGGUUUGCUGUAGUUCCAAGUAGAAAGAAGCCGAAUGCCCAGAAUCAGCUGUGAGACUAUGCUAAUGUAACUGAAUUUCGACUUGGUAACAGUCUUGCGUCUCGUUCAACUGACCUAUAACUAUGCUAAUUGCUAAUGUAAUUGAAUUGAUACUUUGUCACUUUCCUUUAAAACACACUCAUAUCGUAGGAAAACUCUGUCCUUUCGUGCUUAGUAGCAAUGUAUAGGGUCAGCCUCAAUUCUGAAAGCCAUUCGGCUCUCUUCUUUUGCACUCAACUCUCUUCCUUCUGUACUUGCUCACUCGAUAACACUCGAACAGACAGAGAAAUAGGGCAAUUCCGGUCAUUAUAAGACGGGACAAUCCGUUUCGUGUUUCAAAUAAGUUCCUCUGCUCUGGUCUACCACUACUCUUUAAAGUGAAGCGCACCUUUAGUCUCGUCUGAACACCGCGCUCAAGUACUUUACUCAAUUGCUUGUUUCAUCUAAUCCACAUAGUAUAUAUUAUAGGAUUGUGAAUCAUCUAUUUUCUUAAUCUUACCUCCUUGGCUUAGACACAGCUGCGUAUUAGAGAACUGCGGAUUCCAUAUCAAUAGCUCUGGAUUUGAUUCAAGUAUUUAUAUAUCAACAACAAUACAAAGCUGCUACUUAUGCCCGUGCAUAUCUGAAAAUCCUCUUUCGUUUCGAACAAGUUUGAUAUGCUAGAGGGAAGUGCCAUACACCUAUUCAAUUGGCUCUAAGCCCACAUUCUUCCUAGCAACCAACCGAGUCGAUGUCAAAGAACCCGAGCUAGGGCCUUCUCUGUGCAUUCAUGUGCUGCUCUGGGAGUUGCAGGACUCAUUUUCUUCCUUUUUCAUAGCGGGGCGAAGUCCUAGACUAUACUCUAAAGGCGAUUGGCUUGGUCUUCAUUCAGCUGUACUAGAUGCUGUAGCCCAGGCAUCAAUGCACUAACUCAAAGACUUCUAUAUACGAGAUGCACAGUGGGAGCAAAGCGGUAUCAAGUCAUCCCUCUCACAAGUCAGUUGCCUUUCUUCUAAUUUAUACAUUAUCCCAUUUCUACGUGCAAGCAGAUAAUCAGUCUCGUCUUCAUCCUAUUGUGAUGUCAUCUCUAUUAAACCCGCUAUUUCUAUCAUGCGCUUCCGUCUUCUCUUCCAACAGAAGCAAUAGCUGCUCAGCUCCUUCUCUGGAAUCCGAUCUGCGGUAUCAAAAGGAAAGAAUGGAAUUAAUGUCCAACAGACUCUCUCGGUUGGCGCCUCGUACUUUGACUUAUGCAAUAAAGAAUGGAGCUGGGGUUGACAAGAAAUCUACUAGUGCUUAUACAAACACAAUGGAAAGAAAGAACAACACGUAGUAUAGAUAUAGGAUAUUAUUAGUUAUUAUCGCGGAUGUCUUCGUGAAAUCAAAAGUGGGAAAUCCACUAGUAAUACAAAGAAGAAAAACAAUACCCAUAAGAGUUGAGCCGGGAACUCAGACUUUCACUAACGCUAACAAGCCUACCCUUCCAUCCUUUGACUUUUUAGUGCAACCCUCUGGGCAACCUAUAAGCUAAUAGGCAAUUCCGAAUUCCCUAGGUACCUUAGAAGACUUAAUCAAGGAAUAGAAAAAACAGGUAUGGUACAGCGCACCUACAAAUAAGAUAAGAAUAGAGCGAAGGUUCUGAUGUAGUGCAUCCAGUAUGUCAUUCAUUAGUAGAAGAACUCGAUCCUGCUGCCCAAGCCUUAUUCAAAAGUAGUCCAAACCCGACUUGUUAGUGUUUAUCUUCGAAUUGCCUCUUCUCUCUCACCCCAGUGCUAUUUCCCUUAAACAAGGAAUUUCAAUCCAAAAUAGGAAUGCAAAGAAUUUCGCUUGGACACUGGACUCAAACUCGGCAGUAAAGGAAUUCCACCUAUACCGAGAAGACUUGAUCGCUACUACCGGCAAGGCUCGCUGCUACUUACAACUUAUUAGCCGGACCCCCAACUCUUUAAGGUUUCCCUUCCAGCCCAUGAGUAUUACUAAACAGGAUUUCAAUCUCAAACUAGCGCUUCUCAUACUGUCACUACUGCUUGAAAGGUGUUUCUAAGCCUGCCUAUCUAUGAAAUCUCAUUCUUAUGCUCUUUGCUUUAACUCUCCCGCUCCCCGCUUUACGGAAGUAAACUUCACUCUUAUUAAGUAAACAUCAUUCUUCUUAUUAAUAGUCAAGUGUGACUUUCCAGUCUCGCAGGCUUACUACCUUCACUUUCAUUCUGGAGUAGUAGCUACAAUUUCUAUAUGUUCCAGUGAGAAUCAUUCUGGAGUAGUAGCUUGAUUCAGUAUACUUAUGGUAUGGAAACUACAAACAAGCAAACAAGCAACUCAACAUUAACUUGCUAAUGCUUACUUUUCUAUUAUCUUUGUCAAGCUCUAUCUCUUCUCCCUAGCCUUUUCAACACUUAUUUCGGUAAACUCUAGAGAUUAGCAUUCUUUGACUGAGUGGCAUGUACUUCUAUGGCCUGGCCCCCCUUUUCAAAUGUUGAAGCAUGGCUAAGUAAUCCUACUAACAUUGCACCCAGUGCCCAGGUAGUUUGGCCAAUAGUAGGUCAAGAAAUGAUGUGGGCUGGGCGGAGGUUUCUGAAGAAUACAAAUAUAUGGGGUUUUUCUUAUUAGGCGAGCAUCCCUAAAAUGGGCUUGGUUCCAAGACGUAGAAUCAAUAUGAAAUCACUACUUUGCUGGCAAUGUGAAAUCACUACUUUCUUAGCAGGGGUUACUAGGACUUGGGUCUCUUUCUUGGGCGGGACACCAAAUCCAUGUAUGUGUAUCUUUCUCCAUUAACCAAUUUAUCGACGCUAGAGUUGAUCCUAAAGAGAAACCACUUCUUCAUGAAUUGAUCUUGCUUGAAUCGGGACCUUUUGACUUUAUAUAAACUAAAGCACAGUGAGCUACUGAUGUAAAGGCUUUAUAUUCGAACUGACUAGCCCAUAUAGCAACGUAUAUUGGAUAGGGGGCAUCAAUCCAUCUUGAAGCUAUAGCCUAGCCUGUUGAAACGCAGACGGAGACUGGGACAUAUACUAGAAAGUGGGACCUUGCACUGGUUCGUUUGGAGAGGGAAUUGAUCGCGAUGUAGGAGCACUCGUACUUUACUUAAUUAUCCAAAGGUAAAGGAGCACGGGGCACUCGCCUGGCUCAAAAUACAUUAACCUAACCGGCCAUCGCUUCCACUAGAAUCAUGAGGGUGGAUGUCUAUUCUGUCACUUAUUCUUUUUUUGUAGACGCCUAUUCUUUCUGUUUUUUAUAAAUAAAGGUGCUUAAAGCCUCAGUGACCUUUCUUUCUUCUUCACAGCCACACGAAAUCAGUCUAAGCCGAAAAGCCAUAAAGAAGGCUAGCUUCCCCAUUCCACAUGACUGCCAUAAGAGGUCGAAAAUAUCUCACUAUAAGAGGUCGAAAAUAUCUCACUAAUUAAAGCAAGCAAGUACAAGGAUGAGACAAAUGCUGCCGGAUUGCUCGUUGAAAGCGGAGGAGGAGUUAACAGUAAGGGGAGACUGCUUCAAGCCAUACAAGGACUUCUGCACUAGUAGUAAUAAAGAAAAGGGAAGUUAUAGACCAUUGUAAGUAUUAUUGAUUCAUUAUCUGUUACUUCAUUCGAAGUCAAAACUACCAAGUAUACAUCUAGACAUUCAAAACUCCGCGACUCCUCCUGGACUCACUCAACUUCAUCGGGGCGUUCAAAAGAGAAGAUCCCGUUCCCAGCUUUUUCCAGAGACGGGCUGAACGAUUUCCCUCCGGAAGAACUUGUGCAAAAGGGCCGUAGACAGAUUGGAUCGAUUUUCGAAUAUCAUAAUAUUAUACUUUAGAAAGGUGGAAUAAUACCUCCCUGGAGAAAGUCAUAACAAAUAUAAUAAUACCUCUCUGGAGAAAGUCAUAACAAUACCUCCUAGGAAUUUCCAGUGGCUCACAGGUCAACUUCACCCAGUAUGAUAGAAAGGCCUAAUUUGGUUAUGUGAAAUAAGCUACCAUUAGCUUUCUCACUUAUAUGGAUAGUAUGCUAUGACUUACUUGCAGCUUGCUUUCUUUGAGGAAUUAUUGAGUGAAGGGCGAUGCCAGUCGAUUGAUACUCUGAUUCCUACAUACCAGACUUUGAUCAAUCCUACAUGAUAGGAGAGAAAUCGUCUUAUUAAUAAAGAAGGGCACUACUAAACAAGCUCUCGCUAAUACAAUACGGGGAGAACCCGGGCAUGACCACUGAAUCAAUUCCCGUCUUAGUUUAGGGGGAAUGAAGAUACCGAGUUUAGGGGGAAUGAAGAUACCGAAUAACUAAAUAGCGUAAGUGAGGAUGCCCAUGACCUGUAGCUUAUAUUGAAGCUUAUUAACCGCUUGGGGGGCUUCUCCGCUUCAAUUGAGCAGCUGAUCUCGUAAUACUUUUUUCUUAUUGGGUUAUGAGCGGUGCAUUGACUGGCCGUGAGUCGCAUAUAUGCAUGGUAUAUUCCACGCAGCAAGCACUUCGGAUAAGAUUCUUAGAGAAGUGAGCUCACCAUCAUUCAUUGGACAGUCUCCUCUGUUCCAGCAGAAGGCUGCGUCCGCUCCCCAGCUGUAUAGGAUUUUGGACUCCGGAGAAGCAAAAUAAGUUUAGAUAGACUUUGCCAUGAUAUGCCGCUGAGAAGAGUAAUGAUCCAUAAAUGAAUGGGUCCGGACCUAUUUAAUCAGUUGACAAUCGUGGGCCAAUGAAAGAUUGAGCUAGAAAGGCUGAGCUAACUAUCAUAUACUGGACAGUAGUGGCGAUAGAUGGUGCGUAGCAGCUCGACAUAGGGUAGCUAGCUCGACAAAAGAAAGGGAGAGGAUAGACAAACUUAUGGUUUCAACUUAUGCGGUUGAUAGCAGGGUUAGAAACCUCCUCAGUAAGGUAGAUGAAUGAGUUUGCGAGUGGCUUGCCUCUCUCCGUCCUGCAGCAGAUGGAAUCAAUUACUUUUAACGACCGCAAGAAUGGAAGUUCCAUGUUGUUCCUACACAUGCUUAGGACAAAUGAAUCUAUUUCUUGAGGUAGGACGAAGACAGCGCUACUAGGAGAACAAGGAGCAACAGAUAAAUAGCUGUUUUUAUAUCAAUUCCCGAGCCCGUUCUUUCAUUUAUUCGUGUUAGUGAAUAGAGAAGUGGUUUUUUCAGUUAUUGGUUCAUAGACACUUUGGAAGUUAUUGCUUAGUUUCUCUCUCCGUUGUUGUUUACUCCCUGGGUUCUUUCAGUUAGCUCAGUGUUCUUAGCUCCUUUGCAGGUUAGUUGAUCUUCCCACCAAUGAAGCCUUUCAGACACAAAUCAAAAAACAGAUGGAAAAGCUAAGGAUAAAAGGAUGCAUGCUAGAAGACUUUGCACGAAUGGGUAAGUAUAUGUUCAGAUGCCUGAUUACCAAAGAGAUGCCUUCCUAAGCUUCAAUUAUUAGGCAGAAGCAAGAUGCCAUCGCCGCCCUUAUUAAGUUGAGCUUCCCGCCUAACCUUAGAUAGGGAGAAAAGUAAAGCACGAAGAGUUUCCGUGAUGUGGCGAUGUUUUCGUUCGCCUAUUCAAAAGGCAAUUAGGCCCCAAUUAGACGGAAUGGAAGGUGCGGAUCCUAGAUUCGAAGUUGAUGAUUCGGCUUACGAUUUGGUUAGUAUGGAAGUGCACCGCUGUUUAGCCAGAUAUUCUGAGUUCAUUAUAGGGCCUUUCGGCCUCACUCCUUUCCCGAAGCAGCAUUCCCAUGAGUUAACCAUUGAUCCGAGCAAGAAGAAAAGUCCAGCUUUGUGGCGGCGAGAUAUAGUAGCGAUGCGCGGGUUUCGAAGCUAGGGUUGUAGUUGGAGUCGAGAAAGGCAGAAAGGUGCUUUUCGCCGGUAUUUCGCAGAGUAUCAUUGAAGCCUAUUUGAGAUUGUUUUGAUUACUGCUUGCCCGUAGACUUCUGGGGGGUAAUAACUUCCUUGUCCGAGCGAAAUAGCCCUUCCUUAUCUUACGUAAGCUUCAGGUAAAGGGAAUACAAUGUUUUAGGCUUACCCCCUUUGUGGUAAGGCAGUCUUUAAGGUUAGCCUUAUUUUGAGUGGAGGGAGUUAUUCGUAUUACAAGGGCAGGUACCAUCUCGGAUUACCUGAGUGAGACAAAACCUCUGGAGAGUAACUGCCUUUUGGUUCUGUCAAUACAGCAACUCGAGACCUAAUAAAGAAGAGAACUUAGCAGAGGAAACUCAAUCCUUAGUAAGCAAAGCAGGGUGAGUUAGGUCUAGUGAGUUAGGUCUACUCGAUCAGAGGAAAGAGAAGAGGAGAGAUUCUACAUUUGCUAUGAGCCAAGUAACUCCUAAACAAGACCUACUUUAACUCGUAACAAAUACGCCAUGCAACUAAUCACGUUGCGACCAAGCUUAGGCGUAAGACUGCCAAGUCACGUAUAAUUAUGAUUUCGCCAAUUCCUGUUUUUGGGGCCGCUUCCUAUAAUUCCUUCGAGUUAUAACAAUAGAUGUUUUUGGGGCCGCUCCACUCUUUCUAUUACAAUAUAUGCUUUCAGCGGCAAACAAGCUGUGUUUUGUUACUAAGGCAAGGGAGUUCGAGCAAACAGUGUUUAGUGACUUUCUUCUAUAAUAGGUGUGGAUAGCAUAAAUGAUUUGAAAGAAGCAAGGAAACAAGCGCAGUGACGGUUACCAUAAGAAUCCGAAUGACGGGUAGCUGAAGAAGAAUCAGAUAGGGCGUUAGCCAGUUCUUUUGGACAGAUAGGGCGUUAGCCAGGGUUAGACAGAUAGGGCGUUAGCCAGCAGAACGAACAAGUAAACAAGUAAUGGCUGUGAGGUUGUGACUCCAAUAAGUAAGUUUAGAAGGAAAAGGGAAGCAGUUUGUAUGGUAUAUUAUUGAGUUUGUCAUUUCACUCUUUUAUUAUAUCAUAUGAAAGCUCAAUUGAAAAUAGGUAUUGGUAAGGGUAAGGGCGCUAACCUAUCAACAAGCUUAGAGCGCAAAGGGGAAAGCCAAUAACUAAACUCUCGUAGACAACACAAGAACCGAUAGAGACUCAACUGCUAAACCGUGUCGUGUAGUGCCCUUCUCUUCUGGAACUCUACUGAAUGAAGUAAACAGUACUAAGCGCUUCAACUGUGCCCUUAAUUAAUGGGCUUAAGGAGCUCCUUUUUUGCUAUCAAAUAUCUCUUUCUCUCGUGCGCAUAUCUAAUAGGUAGGAAUGGAACUCUCUUGCACCUAGGAUAGAGAUUUGUAAAGUGUGUGUCGAACUACUUCUUCUCGAACAGCUGAUUAUCGAGUUGACUUUCUUCUCGUGAUACGAGCUUCUUCCCUUGCUUACCUAUAUUGAAGUAAAGUAAACAGUUCCCUUGCGCUAACGAUAACAGAAUCUCUCUAUUGCUUGCUCGCAUCGCCUUUCAUUCCCAGAGACCUAAGAGUCCUACUUAGAUUCCUUCUUUCCCGCUUCCUAUUGCCUUAACCUUGUAGUGAACUGAACCUUGAUACGGAUCUUGAAACUCUCCAACUGUCCCUUAAUCAGGUGUCUCUGUCCUGCAAGUCAUUUGUAGAGGGUUCGGGUCAAUAGCAAGUAUAAGCUGGUGCCUCACAUUCUCUUAUAGGCCGAUAUUCUUCUCAAAGAACUCACUAACCAUAGUCACUCGCCUUAGCACUUGUUCUUAUGCGCAUGUCAUUGAAUUAUGGAAUAGAGCACAGCUCACUGACACUGAAUCAUUGAAUUGAAACUCUGAUUCCUAUGAUUCUCUAAUGACAAUAUUCUAUGGAAUUAUAUACGAAACUAUAGCCUUCGCAUGAAAAAGGUGAACUCGACACUGAUGUUAAUUGCCUAGACUUCGCCCCCAAAGAAAUAGACUGAUUCACUUCCCCGCCUUAGCUGACUUUUGAACUACUGAUUCUAUCUCUUUUGUCUCCUUUCUUCGCACUGCUUCCCUAUUCUUUGAAAUCUGCGGGCUGGCUUCCCUUUCUUAUGAAUCUGACUGAAAAGUAUCCUGCGUUACUUCCGAACUCCCUUCCUGUUACUGCGGAUUCUUCUCGGCUUCUAUCUACUACUUAACAAUCACCUCCGGAGACUUCCACUCCUGCACAAUUACCUAUCUUUCUGGUUGCUUUUCUCACUUCCUCUUCCACUUUUUUCCUACCGAUUUCUUCUUUUGCGGAUCUUUCCCUUAGCUUUUUACCUAACCAGCAAAUACCCUAGCCUAGUAACUUCAUUAAACAAGUAAGUCCACCACCCUGAAACAAGAAACUCUGAUUGGGUGGAAUUGCCUAGAAACACCUUUACCCCCGGCUUCUUAUCCCCAAGGACUCGUUCUCACCAGGAGUAAGAGCACCCCCAACCCAUGAGCUUAGCGCUUCAAAUCCAGUACUUUCUUCUUUCCCUGAACUGCUAGCCAGUACUUUCCAACAUACUAUAAGGGCCUAGACUCCACUCUCACUGCGACUUAAUAUAAGGGCACCGAGUCAACUUAUCAUUCUUAUAUUUCUAUUUCCACUCCUGGACUACUCCACUGGUGAAACAGGACUACUACUUAAGACUUUAGAUCAGUAGUUUUAUACCUUCAUUAGGCUUAUCUACUUCUCCAACUUAAUAUAAGGGCCUAUCCUCGAAAGUAACUUAUUGUUUCCCACUGUAGCAGUAGCUUGGCCCACUUGUUGAUUACCCACUUGCUGUUGACCUUACCUUUCGAACGAACAGCUUAUGCGACUGUUCCUGCUGAGUAUACUGAUCCAGCUUUAUAUCUUAAUCCCGCUGAUGAUCCAUAUCCAUCUUAUGCUUAUGUACCCGAUCCCGCUUAUGCUCGAGUAGACUUAACUGGCACUGCAUCUAAUCCAUCUCCUGAUCCCAACUUAUGAUCUAGCUGAUGAUUCUGUUGCUUUAAUCAUUUCAUUUAAGGAUUUCAUGAUCCACCUCUGAAGCUAAUGCGCUUGGAGUAAGGUUUCAAGUUCGUUCAUUACCUUGGUGGUCUAUACAACCUUCUUUAUCUUAUCUUUCUACGGUUCCUUUCAACAAAAGCACCGACACAAUCAGUGAAGUUUGAUCAAGGGUAGUAAAGGAAGUAGUGUUGUUUUCAUCGCCAGCUAAGUUCUUCUUAUUACCCCCCUUAUAUACAAGAGGACUCCCUUAUUUAUGUUAACUCAACUCAGAAAGGGCUUGUGGGGAUCUACUACUUGUUCGAGCGAGCUAUCAUUAAGUAAAGGAACUAUACUAAAGAAUAAGCUCUAUAUUUGGUAUGAAAUGGAUCAUAGGUGGUUUUCAGGUGAUUUAUUGCUUGAUAGGGAAUUUUCCGUUCACUGAGUUUACCGCGACUCAAAAAAAGGUGUUCAAGCAGCCAGUGCGAGAAUAAGCAUCGGCAGGAGCAGGGUUCUGGUCAGAAUCAAUUAAUUCAGAAGAUGGGACAGGUCCCGACUGCAGACUAGUAACUACUAAUGACCAAACAAUACUGGAUCUGAAACUCCGAAUACUUAUUACAAUUCCGGUUUUUGUUAGGCUUUACUGGUUAGGUGAAUUCGGUGCUUGUUAGUGUUGGUGCAAGAAAUAUUAUACAAACCCCCAUAAAAGUAGAGUUUAUGAUCCCGAUACAGCUCUUGCAGAUGAUCCGUAUUCAGCACCUGACACUGAUCCUUAUCUUUCACUGUAAACUACUUUCCCUUUAGCUCCGAGUUGAAGUUCUAGGAGCAGAAGUCGGAGCAGAAAGAGCAUCAGUUGUUGGUGUUGGCACAGUAGCAAGGAAAGGAUAGUUCGAUCUACCUGUAGCUUUCGAUCUACCCGUUGCGCAAAAAACAAGUCAAGUUGACAGCCUUAGUGAGCUGGUUUAUGCUAGUUAGCAAGUAUAAUUCUAGUGAAAUCCUUGUUGGCCCCGAGAGAGAGAAGAAUCAAAGAAUCCAAUAAAGGUGUUGAAGCGCGGUAGGGCUGCUCUUAAAAACAAAUUGGAUGGAAAAUGACCCAUAAAACUCCCCAUUGGUUGUUCGUAGACAUUUGAUCCUGAUAUCUUUGCUUUAAGCUCCCGUUGUUAGUGGUAAAGAACAGGAACUCGGUAUUUGAAAGGAAAGGAUGCUUUGGCGCUAGAAGUAGAAUGAGAGGAUUGCAGUGCAGUAAUGGAUUUGAGUGCUGAAGCAACUAAUACUGCAAAUAAAGAAUAUCUCUCACCCUUACCCGCCUAUCACAUAGGAAUUGAAGAGCUCACUGAUGCUGAAAACAAGAACUCAACGUAAGCCGAUGAAGACAGGGUUCCGGUCUGAAUCCGAAGAUUAGAUACUUUUAUUCGGUUAAGUAGGCUGUAGCUCCGUAGCGUAGAAGUCGUAGUCCCGCUCGCUUCUCUCAGUAAUGACCUGAAUUGCCUGUUAUAGUAGAAUCCCGAGCCGUGGUUGUUGUCGACUCAAAAUAAGCCUAUUCUUCAGCCAACACCGACCCGUACUUCGUUCAGCGCACUAACUAUAAGAAUGAGGGAUUUGGUUUGCCGCCCUAUAAGAAUUAGGGUAUCGCCUCAGAUUCUCUAAUUACCUGUGCUGUAGUGUAGUUCGAGGUCAAGCAGAAAGUGGGCAAAGCUACUGCUACAAAAGGCCAAGCAACGUAGCUAUAAGAGCAUUCCCUACUAUCUGAAAAGACAGAUAAAGAUUCAGAAAGGGAUUCCACUGAAACAGCUUCCUCACCCGCUUCAGCGCAACAAAGCCUUUACUUUCAGAAGGAUCCGAGUAAGACAAGAGGGAUAGAUCUAGCUUCUACUCAAUUCUUAAAGGAGAAGGAGCUAAUUAUGGAUAAGGGCUAUCAGAGGUUUGCAAAGGGGAAGAACAAUUACAGGCAUAAGUAGGAAUAUCAGAGAAGAAGCAAAUUACUAUAAGUCCCCGGUAUCCAAUUCUAAUCCCGGAGUUGAACACCGGAGAAGAGCACCGCUCCCUUUGCUCUUAAUAAUUGAACAGUAACUCAGACAUUCAAACCAUCUCCUUAUUCGAAAUCAUGCAUUUCUAAGUAUCUCAAUUAUGGUCUAAAGUCUCUUCUCUUGCCGGGUUAGUUGGAUAACCUCUGUGCUCAAGUCCUGCAUUUGAUUGCCGAGUGGAAUCCCUAGUGGAGUCUUCCAGUCUUGUUGAGGAUGUUGGUGCUGCCCCUGUGAAAGUGAGCUUGAGAGGGGAGGUGGGCGAGGGGAAGACAAGAAAAGAAAUGAUCAAAUUGGAUUAUUCCUGUUGUGUUCUAGGCCUUGGCCAUACUAAAUGAAUUAUUAUCUUAUUAUUAAAGAAACUAUAUUUCACUAGGGUCGGUAUGAAACUACUAGAUGAUUUCCCCAACAAGUAUACGAGUAGUUGAAGAAUCAAGUAAAGGCUUUGAUGCGGGGAGAAGAAGCUAGAUAUGGAGUUGGGUUGGAGAAAGAAGAUACGUUCCUGUACAGCACUGUAGGCUAGUAAUAACAGAGAUAAGACAUAAGAGAGAGCAAGUUGACAGAGGUAUACGGAUGCAGGUUUCACGUCAUGGUGAUUUAGUGGUUGACUUAAAGAAAAAGAGGUGGUUCGGUGUCCUUACCGAGUACCCGAGAUCAGAAACAGUAGAAGGAAAGUUCAUUGUUGUUGGCAAAGGUCAACCAGCAAAACCAGUAUAGAUGCUCUAGUGGAAUCCAUUACUAUAGUAUAGUAUGUCUGUCCUUACCUUAGUCUGCCCUGAACCCUCCAGAUUGGGGUAUCAAAUGUAUUAUUUCUCAUCGCCAAGAUGACAUCUCAUUUAAUGCCCCUAAUAGAGCAACGAAUUCAUUUGGAGUGUAUAGCAGCACCCAUGUUCCGUUUCCGACUCACAACUCUCUAUUUCUCCCCUACUCAGUUCUAUUGCUCUACUCCGGUUAGGUCUAACUAAUAUACUUGACUUUACCGACAGAGUGGAUCUUUGAUUCUUCUUUCUUUAAUACAAGUAAUGAACUUCACCUUGCCCUGAAGUGUCAGCAGCAGUUAGAGUGGAAUCAGUCUUUGUUGGCGCACAAAAGUACAAUGAUUAGUUUGAAUUGAUUCAUUUAAUAUAGUUACUAUAGUAUAGUAGAAUGUAAUCUCACCUCGCUUGACUCACUUAUUGAAUGAAGCUUAAGCAGGAAAGAAAGAUGGGAAGUUAACCGGGAAAACAAACAGGGUUGCGCCGCCACUACGCCAGAGGAAGAUUUACGGGUAUCAAACUUAGGAUAAGAAUGAAGUUAGAUGAGAAAGCUGUCAACUAUUCUACUGCUUGACCUGCUCUUUACUAUGAAUUUGGUUAGAAUGGAUAGUAGGUUUCCUGUUUUCAUUCAUAGUUGCUUGUUGCAUUAUUAUUAUUAUUAGGCGCACUGGAGCUCAAGAAGUCACUACAACUACUGGCUCUGCUCUAGUUUCAGUGCUCUAGCCCUUAAGUAAUUGGUGAGCAGGAUAAUCAGUAGUUGCAAGAGAAGCAUCCGAGGCUGUUAUCAUCACAAAGGAAAGGUGGAAUUCUUAUGAACUACAGUAGUAUACGUAGCGGCGUACCUCUUAGCCAGAGAAUGAGCAAAGUCAGCAGCAGAAUGAGCUAGGUCAGAUAGAUCUUUGUAACCAAGGGAAGGAGCUGGGUCUCGAUUGGACCACUACAUUCAGGGGCAUUUCCACUAGUUUGGGCUGUAAACCAUGGCUAUCCGACCUCUGCUCUUACUUACUUAUUAAGGCAGUGCUUUCCUUCCCUAGUGCUCCUAUCCUGUUAAACUCUGGUAAGCUAUCUAGUUCAUAUGAGAGAGAUAGUCGUCCCUUCUACAGAACAAGCAACGGAGAAAGAACUAUAUAAACUCGGUUCCACACAUAAUGGAUGUGCCUAUCCAGUGUUUUACUCUUUGCAAGACAAGAAAGAUUCCAGGUUGCCUAUCCAGUGUUUUACUCGGCAGUUUACAGUGAAAUCUCUUCUGAAAAGGGGAGUUCAAUCAGUAUUAGCAAAGGUUUUAAGGGAGUUUGCUCACCUUAGUUGCAAGGGUUUUAAGGGAGUUUGCUCACCUUAGUUGUCGUAUAGAGAAUGGAAUCUAGCUCUUUUCUUUCUCAUGCGGAGGAGCGGGAAGAUUCGAUUUACCAGAGUCUAGGGCAACGGCUUUCAAUCAAAGUAAUAAGUGAGUUUGGAAGAAAAGAAUCAGAUAAAGAUCUUUAUGUGUAUUAGGAAGAGCUCGAAAUCAAUGCGUAUAGGUGUCAGUCAAUGCCGUAUAACAGCCUAACGGGGGCAAUAUAGGGAAAAGACAGGACUCGUUCUUAACCUCAACUCUAUUCUUUUGAGGUCUUGCUGGGUUGAAGAAGGUACCCGGUAUUUAGGGUAAUUCCCACAUUUUCUUAGUGUAUAGAGGAAGGAUAGUUCUAGAUUCUAAGAUGGAUCAGGAUUUGUUCGAAGGUAAGGUUCAGGUGAUUGUCUUGACCGGCCAAGCCACUGCUGUUCGGGUGUUGAGUCAGCUUCCCCCUAGCUUGGGCAAUAAGAUAUUCGAUUUCUGCUUUUAUACCUUAAUGAGAAUCCGCCUUCUUUUCUUUUUCCGACAAUAACCUUCAUUGCAGCUGACUUUAGUGGUUCUGUUUCGAGGUAUACUGAAUACGAGUUAAGAGACUAAGCUAGAUCAGAUUCAAAAGAUGGGGCAGCUGUAUCCUUAAUCUCUGCCAAACACAUGAAACUACCUUUCUUAUUGCAACGAGUCCGACUGCAAGAAUUCUAUACCAUAUGUGCUCGAUAAUAUGAAAAGGUGGAGGACGGGCAGUAUACAAAGGACAGAGGUGAACAAGGGAUUACUCCUAGAAAUGGCUUAGUGUUUAGGUUGUGCACGUAAAGAAAUGCCAAACACCCUUGAGUUGCACUUUUCGUCCCUUUUCUUUUGGCCUAUAUCAAGUUUACACCAUGGAAGAGGACUGAGUUAGUAGUAAUCAAAUAGCCCUUGUUCCGUUUAAGGCUCCAUAAUACUAUACUUUAUAUGUGGAAUAUAUCUGGAUCGAGACAUCAAAAAAGAAUAAGGGUUCCGGCGCAACUACUUAAGCUUGGAAAAACACCCUACAAAGACACACCUUCCUAUAGCUUAGCCGAUGAGAAUCCAGCAAGUAUGAAUAGGAGUAACAGCAUUGAAGGCAGGCGCUCUAACAUUCACAACACCUGAAAGAAGGAAAGGAAACGACAACCCCCCACCCAAGUAGGUCAAACAAAAGAAUCACUCCCUCGCUUCUUUAAGAAUAAGAAAUCAUUCUUUUAGCUUACUAUCAUAUAAGAGGUGGGCAGUACCCGCAAUGGGAAGAAGAAAGAAUGGCAGGAUAUUUCAGAUAGAAAAGCAGACAAGGCUAGAGAAGCUAGUAAUUUGACUCGUCGAGUUGUCCAGACAAUAGAACUUCCUUUUCUCCAUAAAUGCGGUUUGAUGCUUUUUAGCUUAGGUGUUUCUUUGAUCCCGUCCCUCGUAACUGUCUUUGAUUUCUCUAGGAAAUAGAGCCUUUCGCUCGUAAUUGAGCACGUGAAUAAGAUGCUCGACCAACGGGAUAUGGAGUUUUCAGUCUAUAUUAGGAUUUAACAAUUAGCAAACCCUUUCUUCUUUACAGUACAGGCCUGUGAACUCGGGGCUGUUAAACAUAAAAGAAUCCUACACUAGCCUAUUUGAGAAGUGUUCGUUCUACUUGAUCAUAUUUGACAACAAGAUAACAAGGAUAAAAGGUCACAAAGAGCGCGCUUACGAAAGCCUUCAAGAAAUCCAUUCUUGCAGCUACCAUACAAUACUUGCGAGAUUAAUUCCUGCUGCCCCUAGGAGCAAACACUCACUAUUGGAAAUUAGAAGCUCAUCUCUAUCUCUGGAUUCGGCAUAAUCAAUGGCACUAACCACACAAACAUAUGUUUAGGAAGGCUCAAUGGGUCCUAUCCCCUAUAGUAGUACGUUGGAGUGUGCGCUUUUGUUCAGGAUAGUAUAGUGGUAGGGCUGGACUCGUGCUUACCCCGCCUAUCCACCAUGCACCACAAUAAAAUAGCUAUCGGUGAAUUGAACUAACAAGAAAAGUCAGUUAUUAGGCUGAGGCAUAACAUGUAGAGGAAUAGGAAUAAGGCUUCUUGCCGGACUCUGUCUCCUUCUCUGGUCAACAUAGAGUAAGUACCUCUGAUUUCUCUGAUGAUUCGGCUUAAUGAAAAUAGAACUAGUAGCUCCGGUAUAGGGAAGGUACCGAAGCAUAUAUACACUGAUUGCUAGGAAGAUGGAUCCUGCCAUCAGGCAACGGAUGUCGGUCGGUACUCGUACUCGCUCUGAUUUCUAAUAAAUAAUAAAUAAAGAACAGGGCACUGAGAAUCGUGCUUACUUUCUUUGAUUGACCCUCCGCGCCAAGACUUGAAUAGAUUGAGUUCGCAGAUUUCUAUCCCCACGUUGGUAAGAAUCCCUGUCAUAGCAACAGCAGCCCUGACAUAAAAGGUAGGUAGAUAUCUAUUUGCAUUUCCUUGCCUUUUCUUAGUCUGCUACCACUGAGGAAAUUGCCCAAGGUUUUGAUCCUUAUCCUGGAGGUACCCCAUCUUUUCCUUUGCCACUGAGAGCGAGUUCAUUAUUCCGCAGCGCACCCUUUGUUUUGAUUGAUCAGACCGGUCAUAGCCCAUUCGCCCUUUACCUCCAAUUCCAAGUCAGAGGGGAACAUUUGGAUUCUUGAGAAUUCAUUUCUAUAACGUGGGGAGAACUGUAUAGGGAUGCGAGGAACCUUGCUUUCAGAUCGCAAGUCCAAUAGGCGGUCGAGGUCUUCUAUCUAAUCCAUUACCAUUGCUUCUGGGGAAAAGGGAUAACAAACAAGGGAACGAUAGGACAAUCUAUGAUGCUAGUUUUGUCGUUGCCCGGUACAAGUCAAGUUUUGAAAGUAUAAGAGAGAAUCACAUUGCUAACUUACUGCUAUUAUCGAUAUUCGAACAUGAACUCACAUGCUUUAACUCAUUCAGGAAGCUCUACCUCAUAAUAGGCUAGCGGUCCCACGGAUGCCAAAAACAUCUUACUGACUGCUUAAACUCUGGUAAGCUAUCUAGUUCAUAUGAGAGAGAUAGUCGUCUCAUCAUUGGUGAUGGAUCAGCACUUCCGAUGACUCAUGACUGACACACUCUCGAUUCAGGUUCCGUUUUAUUGCAGGGGAUAAGUUGGAUUCCAAAUGUGUUAGUCGUACUAUCCUCACCAAAUAAGUAGUAGAUUCCGAGUGCGACCAGCUCCUUGAGUGAAGGGCGACUUAAGUGCAUUAGGCCGAUGUCAAUAAAGAUGUAGAAGAAGAAGAGAUGUUAAAGUAGUGGGCCAGGCCAAGCUACUCGGAUUUCUCAAAGUAGCAAUAAUCCCAUCCAUUACUCCUUGAUAGGCUUUUAGAUGCUUGUAGGCCUCGCGUACCCAUUGGCUUUGUAGAUUGCGGAGUCAUCAUGGCUAGGUUUAUGAAAUCCUUACUUCAGGAUCGUAUCAGAGAGAGAAGAGACCCGAGUCGAGAGCCGAAACGAGUGCGAGCAGCAGAGAGAUCCAUACUCCUUAUACUAAAGAGAUCCAUACUCCUUAUAUCUUUGAAAAGCGUUUCCUUUGUUAGCUACCUAUUACUUCACAAAAUGGGUGGAAGCAGCGCCAAUGACAUGACAGAAGUAACCACAACAGAAAGGUCAACAACACUAAGUACCUUCAUAAGCGUUACAAUAUAAAGAAGGAUAUGUUCAUAUAUAUAAAGAAAGAAUGAAAUACCAAGAAUGAAACGAACAGACAAGCAACGGUCCCAGAGCAAGACGUUCUAAAAGUGUUGUAUACGAAGCGAGAAGGGAGCACUUUUCUAAUGUCCACGGAGCGAGUCAAGAAAACAUUAGAUUACAGGUCGGGUUAUAGUCUUAUGGUUGAAGUUUAUGGAAGUGAUUGUGUUGUCCGGGGCAGAAUAUCUUAUUUCUUAAGCUAGUGCGGUGCUUGUUGGUGCUUGUUAAAGUCCUAAUGCGGGGCGCGACAAGAGAUCAAAUCUGAGAUGCGCUACAAGAGAGAUAGAAUGAUUUGUUUCAACUUACCAUAUAUUCUAGUUGAAAGGAUGGGUUAAGGUCCAGGCCCACUAAUAAGACGUCGUGUGUAAGCAUCAGCUUCAACAAACCGUGUUGCGCUUAAGGAGUUAUGUGAGUUUGGCGAUGUUCUUAAAAGAUGCCCUUGUGCCUUACGGAGAGGAUGAAUCUUACCUACUUCCCCAUAUCGCCUCUGCUACAGUAUGAUGCUUCUCUAGAGGUUUCGCUUUCCAUUCCAUUCUUUAGGUCUGGGAAGAAUCUAUAGGUGCAUAACUUCUAACAAAGGGAAAGCCUAUUACUUUGCAUAUCCAGCUCCAAUUUAUGAUCAGUAUCAAGCGAGCUCUUAUUACAAAUGUCGAUGCUCAACACGAAAUCCCUUUCUUGGAAAUCCUUUUGCUUAAAUGAGACUCUCCACUAAUAUAGCAAAACGGUAAUAUAGUUCUAAAAACGGGAAUUGCACUUACAAAAACAAACAAGUGCUUCCACUUUAUUAGCUUAUGAAUUGAACGACUUUAUUUCUACCCUAUUCUUUCUUAUCUUUUAAUUGAAUGAUCAACUGCCUAUUUGGAUGUUUGAGUAGCGCUAACUGAGUUUGACAUAAGGUACGGUACGAAAUGUUUGAUUUGACUUCUUUCUGCUUAGGAGUUAGAAGCGCUAACAGAGUUUAUAGGUGCAUUACUUAAUUCGAGAGACAAAUGAAGUUCAGAAUUCGCUAUUAAACAAGCAGACUCCGUAGUCACUUAUACUUACUUGUGAAAUUCUUUGUAGUAACCUAUUCCCGGCCUUAUGAAGAUUGAUUCCAUUCCUGCUUCAUUGUGGCGGAUAAAAGAUUGAUGAUUGUGUUGCUGGGUGCGAGUGCAGUGCAUGUUCUCCUAUGAGUAAGUGAAAGUCAAGUCCAAGUUGCUUCCACUCAAAGUUAACGGCUCUAAAAGUGCUCCUUCAUAGAUUCCCCAUGUUAUUAUAGAAGAUAGACUAAGCAAUCUGAUAGGAAGAUAGACUAAGCAAUCAAUCUGUGAUAGACAAAAAUCUGAAGCGUGAGAGAGUUUGCUUAUUGGGGCUAGAAAGAGUUAAGGUCAUUGUGCGCGUAAGAAAGGUAGGAAACAAUAGAGCUGGAGAAGGAAAGUCCACAACAUCAUAUGAAUACGCAGUCCGAGCUGUCUUUGUUGGCUUAGGGCAAGAAUAAGACAAGUUGUUGACAUGUUGGUUACUAAGAUGGAGAAGUAGUGCAAUGAAAGCUGUCAGCAAGCAUAACAAAUAACAGGGCAUGUUACCUCACUGCCUAAAGCUUGUUCCGGGCUUAUUCCUGAAAGAGAUAUUUGGCCUUGUUCCUUCCAAAGCUAAUUAAAGCACAAGCACUCUAGAGAUAAUAUCAUAUUAAAAACCCAACCCACAAAACCAAUUGCUUUUAGAAUGGAAUUGCCCCGUUCAGUUCACACCACACGCUCUCACUGAGAUUACUCUUGGCAUGGCACCUCUUUUCCAAUAAUCUUAUUCUUGAAAACUUCCUAACAGGGCAGAGGGCGUAGUAGAAUAAUUCUGCUAUGAAGCUAAGGUGAAGUAUCAAGUGCUGUAUUUCUUUCUUUUCUUUAUGUUUGGAAGAAGCGUACACGGAACAAACUAGUAAGUCAAUCUGGCAUGGCAGAGGAAAGAGUGUAUUAGCGUUGCAGUGAGGGCGGGGUUCGAAAGAAGGGUGUGUGCUUAGCCUUCACCGAGUAGUGGUCCAAGCUACAGAACAAUAAAAGCUAUGGAAAGUCAAGUAUAAGCUAUCUAUAACAAAGCAAGACAUUGUGCUUAUGUGAGUUGCAAAUAAGAUACAACUCUAAGGUAUAUUUCUUUCUCAAAAUGAACUAGAACUAACGGUACCUAAAUAACCAAUCUUCUCUUAUAAAUUGAGUUUACCAUAACUUCAACUUAGAGAAAGAGGAAAGUGCAAGUGGGUUUAAGGUCAGAAAGAGAGAGUACUUUACUUAGACUUGAAGUUCAUCAUUUCUUUCAUCCAUCUCACGCAGAAGAUCCAUCAGAUUGGCCCA